rnacentral:lncRNA from 1 species
UUUUUUUUUUUUAUGUGAUACUUUUUGUUGGAGACGUAUGAAGAUUAUGGAAUUAACUCAUAUUAAGUUAAGUUUGGAGUUUAGAUAAAGUAUUUUGAGUUGAAGUAAUUUAAAACAAUUGUAGUGUGUAAGAAAAUUGAUGUUUUGGAUAAGUAAAAUCAUAUUUUAAUUGGUAAAAUGAUAAUUUCAAAACAAAACUAAAUGUAAGUUUUCUAUCAUGUACUUAUAUCAUAUUUGAACUUUUGACAUUUAUUUUAAGUUAUGAGUAACUAUUGCACGCACCACUCAAUCUCCCUUAAGUAUCAUCAUGAAUGUUCAAUCGACCGUUAAAGUUUAUGACUGAUGUUUGAGCGAGAUUAAUGUCGAGAUAAUUUUGUCUUCUAUGUGAAUGAGAGAUAUUGAAACAAUUGUUUCCUUCAAGUGAUAAAUUGAUUGCUCAAGCAUUAUGUAAGCAAUGAUACAUGAUGUUUCUAAAACUUGUUGUAUUAUAGGAGUAUUCUUGGUGAAUGAUUGAUGUGAUGCUUAAUCAAUAAAAACGGAUUAAAAAAAAAUGACAUAUUAAUUUUUUUUUUCUAAAAUUAAUAUCACUCGAGAUAUAUGUAAGAUUGCUCAAACAAAUUUUUCAACAUUUAAAAAAAUAAGAUCAAACUAACUUCAUAGGAGAUUAUAUUAAAUUGGCGAAUAUAUGUAUUAUAUAAGACAACAUAUAUAAUUUUAUUAUGAGUGAGUGUGUGUGGCAAGAGAUAUGUUAAGCAUAAAUUACAAUUGAUAGCUUCUUAUAAAAGUAAUGAAUUUCUUCAUUUAUAAUUUUUAAUAUUUUUUAUUGAUUAAAUAAUACUAAUAUUUGAGGAAGCCCUUUAAAAAAUGGUAUGGGUAAAAUUAUGCUUUUAGUAGUAUGUUGAAUGCACUCAAUUAAAUUUUUCUACCAAUUAACUUACUAAAAUAAUUUUUUUCUUGAGAUUAUCAAUGACAAUGGCAAGUUAUAUGUUCUUUUAAUCUGUAAAUUUUAAAAUUAAAUCAUCUUCUUCUAAUUUAAAUAAACAAAUUCUAUUUGUUUCUGGAAUAAAUAUUUUUUGAAAAUUUUGAUUAUUUUAAGUUUAAACAAACUAAUCAAAUAGGCCACUUAAGAGAGAAAAAAAAAUCAACAGAAUAGUCUUAUCUGAAUAUUUUUAUUUUUGGUAAUUAAAAUUAUUUUGAAAUAUAGCUUUUAAAAUAGUUAUCAAUGUGUAAUUGGAUUUUUGAUUUCCUUGUUAAAUUAUUAUUAUUAUUUUUAUUAUAAUUAAAUUUUAAAGAGAAAGGAAGAAGAAAGAAUUCUACUAUGGAAUGAAACGAGUCGUUUAGAUCUGAUCAAAGUCUUCAUCUUCUUUCUCUCUUUGUUUGUUUAGGUUUCGCAGAGCUUCCUUCAGCGCAUUUUUCCGACCCAUUUACCUCAUUUCACUCUUUCAACCACAACGACGCCGUUCAAGCCUUCCAAAUUCCAAAUUCAAACUCAUUGAAUCGUAUCCUAUCAUAUCGUAUCGUAUCAUCAUAUCGCGUCGCACGAUAUAUCGGUUCCUUUGCUUCCUUCUGAAUUCCCAUUGAUCGAUCGCAAUUGAGAGAUGGGAAAAGCGAGGGACAGAACCGAGGAUUUCAAAGAUGCCGUGCGCCACACUGCUCACUCUUUGGGCUACGACGAGGUUUUGUCAUCUUCAUAAUUUACAAUUUUCUUAUCUUCAUAAUUCAAAUCGCUAACGUUUCUUGUGUGUGAAAAUGCCACGUUUGGGUUUGGCUGAUUAGGGUUUAUGAACACGUGUUAAUUGUGAUUGGUUAUUGGUUAUUGGUUUCACCAUUGAAUUGUUCCUAAUCUCACCGUGAUUGAAUUCGUUUGGCAGGCUAAAUUGGCGUCCAUCAUGGCAUCUUUCAUUAUUCAUAAACCUCCGCAAAGGUCUCCGUUUUCCAAAGCCGCAUUGAAGACGGUAGACUCGGAUUUCAAAUUGUUCUUUUAUAGUGAGCUAUGAUUAGUUUAUUCAUGUUUGUAGUGGUUGUGUUGUGCUAAUUUUUUUGUGACGUGACAUUUUUUCUUGGUCUUUGUUUUUAGCUGGAGAGUAUUGGAGAGCUGGACCAGUUUUUGUUGAAGCAUAGAAAGGACUAUACGGAUCUGCAUCGCACCACAGAAAAGGAAAGAGAUGGCAUCGAACACGAAGUAAGCUGGGGUUCUAGUUUUAGGAGUAUUCUGGUGUCACAUUUGAUGAUUGGAAAAUAGUACUUGUUGGCAAAAAUAUGGUGUUUCGCCUUGGGCAUGAUUUUUAUGCUUGUUCUUGGCUGCAUUGAUGAUUUAGAGCUUUCUCACCACUGUGUUGUUCAUGAUAAGACAUGAGUUAGUUUACUUAGCUGUGAAGUCUUUUCCUGUAUACAUGUUGUCUAGGGGAAGAAACAGCCAAUAGAAAGAGAAAUUAGCAAUAGCAAGAAAGUGAUCAAGAAGCGAGUGAUAGAUAGAAGAGAUUACGAUAUAUAUGCAAUUCGAUUAUGGUCCCAUCUUAGGCCGGUAUUAAUUUUAAUUUUUCCACUGCUAGCACUAUCAUUAUUAAAUCACAUUGGUUCUCUCAGUUUAUUUCCUUCCGAAGGGGUUCUCACAAAUCAGUGCACAGUUGAAUUUUCAGUAUUUGUUGUUCACACCUCACAACAGCAUAUAGAUAGAAAUUAUUUUAAGCCUGCCAAGCAAUUUGGGCUUUACCUGCGUAUAUAAAUUUUAUUAGCCUUUUCUGUGUUUUUGGGUCAAAAAGAAUUGAUAUCUCUUAAUCGUAUUAUGCUUGAGAAGUUGUACAGAGUUUUGCUUAUCACUUACAAUUAUUUUGUAAUUAAUUUGGUGCAGGUUAGUACUUUUAUUAAAACAUGCCAGGAACAAAUUGAUAUUCUUAAGAAUAGUAUAAAUCAAGAAGAGGAACAUUCGAAAGGUUGGCUUGGUAUUGCAGCUACAAAAUCUAAUGCCGACACGAUUGCCCACAAACAUGGGGUGGUGAGGACAUCUUGUGCUUGUUGAUUCAGUUAUUAACUACGUAUGUUGGUUGAGCAGUUGUAUGAUCAUGUUGAUUCAGAGUUUUGCUUGAUAAUGUUAUCUGAAUACUAAUACAUUCAUGAAUUGAGAUGGCUAUUUACUUUUUUGUAUGCUAAUGUUUACUUGGCCCCAAUUUUAGGUUCUAAUUUUGAGCGAGAGACUCCAUACAGUCACAGCACAGUUUGAUCAGCUAAGAGCUGUACGCUUCCAGGAUGCUAUUAACAAAGCAAUGCCACGGAGAAAACUUAACCGUGUAACCAGAAAAGAUUCGGCAGAAACCUCUAAAUCAGAUGGCAUGGAGCUCAGAGAACCUGAAGAGCUACGUGCUGAGCCUCUAAGAGUCCAACAACAACUCUUGGACGAUGAAACACGUGCCCUGCAGGUGAUAAAAAUCAAUUUCUUUAAGAAAUUCUGUAGGACUUAUUCUGUCAUUAGUUUGAUUGAAGAUUUUUAGAUUCUCGUAACUAACCCUUUACCAUUGUUUAUUUUCCUGUAGGUGGAAUUGACUACUCUUCUCGAUACAGUUCAAGAAACCGAAACUAAGAUGGUGGAAAUGUCUGCACUAAAUCACCUCAUGUCUACACAUGUUUUGCAUCAAGCUCAGCAAAUUGAGCAUCUUUAUGAGCAGGUUAGAUAACAUAUAUUCUUCACUCUUGUUUUCUUGUUUUUUGGGAACAUUUUAAGGCUGUCAUCUAUCAUGUAUAUGCUGCCCACACACCUUCCAAGUAUAGCCAAGUGAUGUGAAACUGGAAUUAGUGUGGAACAGGGGAUGGAAAUAGAUCACAUAUAUAAAAUAGGAUAGGUAUGCUUGAUUCAUCUCAAAUUCAAGGCUUAAAUCUGCAAAUCUUAGUAAUCAGCUAACUUAAUAGUAUGCAAAUCCCGCAUCUUGAAAUAAAUUUAUUAAAAAUACCCCCAAUAAGUAAGAACCUCAAGAAAACUAAAAUUUCCAGAAGUAAAUAAGUAAGCAAUACUUUAUACACGUAAUAAUUAUAAUAUCCACAUUCUGUUUUUAAUUAAUACCGUGAAGGUUUAAUAUUUUUUACAGGUUUCCUCAUUGUAGUGCACAAUGAUUGCAAUUUGUUUAUUCUGCCUAAAAACUAGUUGCAUUUCCAAUUUCUAAGAAAUAUAAUCAUGCUUCUGCUGGCUUUUCCAGGCUGUUGAAGCCACUACGAAUGUGGAGCUCGGUAACAAAGAACUCUCACAAGCCAUUAAAAGGAAUAGCAGCAGCAGGACAUUUCUUUUACUGUUUCUAUUUGUGCUUACUUUUUCAGUUCUCUUUCUUGAUUGGUAUAGUUAAAUGCAUUUGGUUCUCUGCUAGCACAGUGUAUCUUCUUAUAGACACUCUGCCCCCUCUCUCGUUUUUCCCUAUUGCUGUCAAUAUCUGUUUUUACCUCUAGGAAGGCAUCUUUUUUCUAGAUACGAUGUGUUGUUUGAUGGAGACAGAUUUUACUAAUCAAUUUAUGAAGGGAAGACAAAAGAGACCUCCCUACUGUUUUGUAGAAGGGUAGAAAAAUCAAAAUAUUUUAUUUGGUUUGUAAAUUUGGAGAGAUAAAAGGAAAGUGAAUGGAUAAAAAUUUCUUUUUUCUUUUCCUUUAAAUCAAUCAGUCUGUUGGAAAUUUUAAAGAAUUCUUCACUGAACCUGUUAUACCAGACAUUGUCUUUGUCAUCAUAUCUUCUGCGAUGGAAUAUUUUUAUUAUCAACUAAUUACAGUUUUUGGUACUUGCAGAAGGAAGACAGUGACAUCAAAUUCUUUGGAAAAAUGUUGAUAAGUGAAAGUAUCGUGCUUGACAUGAAAAGAUAUAAAUUAAAUUAAAUUUCCUUAAAGAUAAUGUUAAUCAAAAGUCUUACUAUUAGUUAAAGAAACUGUACUUUCUUCCAGGACUAAUUAACAAAAAGAAAAACAAAUGAUAAUUUAAUUUGAUAUUAAAGAAACUCACAUCACAAAUUGACCAAGACAAAAAUCACUGUAUAUUAUGCUAAAAUUGUUAGAGUUAGAGAGGGAUUAUUCAAUGAAAAAAAAACAUUUUUUUAUAUGAAAACAAUUAACACGUUUCAUGACAAACCAUCCUCUGACUUUAUGUUCUAAAAAACACAGGAUUUUCAAUUGUUCAAAUAACAAAAUAGAUGUAACUAUCACAACCAUGUUUUCAAAUAACAUUACCAUUUCUUUAUGAGGAAACAAAAUGUACAGGAUAAAAAUGGGGGGCCAUUGUUAGACUAAAAACUAAAACGACAAGGUUUUAUUCACGAAGUCAGCAACCACAAAAAUGUAAUUUCUCUUUAUAUUUUCCGUAUCAUUUCCAUGGUGCACAAUUUCUCCACCUCAAUUCUCAGCAUUAAACGAGGCUCAUUUUCAACUGCACACAUGUGAACUGUCUCUUACUCAUGCUUCAUCACAGAACAACACCUACAACCUGAAAAUGGACCACCCAAAUGUCACUCAAUAGAUGUUUCCUUUAAAACAUAAAACCAUUACAAGUGUUGCUUCAAAAAUCUUGAUGUUUUAAUAAUAUUCAUUAUAUGGGUGUUUUAAAUUUAAAUAAAAACAAACUAAAGAAACAACAAAUGUUUUUAUCUAUAACUAUGUAUCAAGAGAAUAUGAUCUUUCAGAGUACAUAUUUUGCAUAACCUAUCUUACUCCUAUAACUACCACUAUGAAAUAUUACUUCUUCCCUACUUUAUUAGUUAUUUUUUAUUUUAAUCACUGUUCUCUCUCUUGCUCUGCUUCUCUGAUAAUUGCAGUCUCCAAAUCACUCAUAUCCUUCAAUACCACACCACCAACUAUUCACUAUUAUUAUUUAACCUUUAUUCCUCUUUUUAUUUAUUUUUUAUAAAAUAGAGGCACUAACUCCCUCUUUUUUCCUAGUUAUUAAUGAUGAAUCUUAUAUUAUAUAAAGAUGAAUAAAUUAAAGAGAUAAAAAAAAAACCUUUCAAAUUAAUUUUGAAAAUAAAUUAUUAAGAAAAAAGCAUAUUAUCUUUAUUAGAAUGGUAUGUCAGUAUUCAGAUUAAAAAUGAUCAAGAGUACAAUAAUUUUAGAAUUAAGUGGUCUGAAAGGGAAUGAUAUCUAGAAUUUGAUACAAUGUAACAAAACUUAAAAUUUAAAUUUAACUAAAAAUAAAAAAUGGUAUUUGAAAGGGGAAUUAUUUAUAAAUAAAAAAUAAAUUGAAAUGCUUGGUUGAAAAUAAGCCAUGUGACUUAGUAAGAACAAAAAUAACUGCUAAAAACUCAUUUGAUGAUGAAAAUUCAAAUUUAUAAAUACAAUAGUGCUCAAUAAUAAUUUAUUAUUUAACUGUCAAAGUCAUGAACAAUAUGGUUCAUAUCAAGAGCUGCAUGUUUAAACUUGUAAAGAGAAAUAUUAAUCAUUCCAAGCUAGCUCUCAUCCAAAAGAAUGCAGAUUGGUGAAACAAAAAUUGAGCAUAGAAUUAUUGAAAGAAAGAAACUUCAAUCACUAUAGGAGAAGGGUAGCAUGCUGUUGUCCCAUCUCCAUAAGCCUGAUAGUAUCAUAUUUUAUUAGUCCAUCACAAUAUUGACUAUUGCACAAACACCAACUUCUACACAUAAUAAAUAACCUUUUGUUUCAGAAGUUACACAGUUGUUUCACCAGCCCAAUCAACCAAAUACAACAGAGACAGAGAUAGAGACACCAACAAUGACAAACAGAAGUACAUACAGAAAUAUUUAAUUGCUUACUUACAGUUAUAGGACAAAAUUUGGGGUAGCUGAACUCAACUCCCUGUAGUGGGUCUUCUAUUCACCACCAAAUCAUCAGCUGAAUAGUAAUCAGCUAUGAGCCGGUACAUAUAUGAAGGGUUGUGUCCUCCCCUGAGAAGUAAUUUCCAGUCAUGUGAGUGCAGAAAAGGAAACUGAUUAGUACACAUUUUGUGAGGUCAAUGACAAAGGAAAUGAAGUUUUUCCAAUCAAUUUCGGUUUAACUUACGUGUCAGUAAUAAAGAGACUAACAAAUUUUGGCGGCACAUAAUCAAAGGUUGGAUUGACAACAUGAAGAGAGCCGGCACCGCUUGCAGAAUCCAAGCAAUCUGAGAAUUCCCCAAAGUCAAGUAGCUCAGAUGGGGAUCUCAGUUCAUUCAGUAGGACUUCAGGAUUGUGAGGAUACAAAGGACAUAACUGUCAACAAAAUAUAGCAAUUUUCAGAAAAUGCCAAAAAGUGUUGGUCCUGAGAUGAUGAAGGAUCACAAACUAUUUUUUAAAUGUCAUCAAAGUUUUCUUAAAAGCAAUUAAUGGAAAGCAUGGGGGUAUUGUACAUUAUUAGUAAUAUUAUCACAACUUGGACACAUCUUAACUGAGUCAAUACCUAAGAGGCAUCUAUUUCAUUAUCAUCAUAAUAUAAAAUAUUUUUAAAUUUUCAGAAUUUUAAAUCUCUACAAACCCCAUCAUUAGGUCAGGAGUUUGAGAUAUCAAGACUUGACUAGUUUGAGAUAUUUACACCUCAUCAGAAUAAAAAAUUUAGUAACAUCAUUUUAAACUAAUGGCUAAAAAAAUUACAAGCUGUUUAGUAUAGAUGUAUAUUUCAAAGAUUUUGUAUUUAUAUACAUACAUUCCCAAAUCCCAAGUCAUCUAAAGUCCCACACCAUUAUCUCUUCCUGAAUACCCUUCUAAUGCAUAAUAAGUUGUCUUAAUAGCCUAUCAUAUUCAAUGCCUCACGGAUGAAUUUCACAAUAACCUAUCAUCCUCUUUCCAAAUUUAACAGAACAGGAAGUAAAAUACAGAAAAAUCAUAAGUCAUAAGCAUUCUUGUUUCCUGAGAACAUGCCAGAUGUGAGGGCACAAAGAUAUUACAUGUUAAGAACUCACCUUGUGACUCCCAGCAAGUACAACAAAUGGAACAGCAUGCCUUUGAGCUGCAAGUGCAACCAUAUUUAACCCAACUGGGGCAAUAACUCCACCAUUAGCCAUGACAGCAUGAGCUCCAACUAUAACCUAUAUAAUGGAACGUUUAAAUCAACUUAACUUCAGUACAAAAGUGUUAAUUGAUUCCAAAAAUUAUGCCAGGAUAUUCACAUACCAUGUUCACUCGGGAAAUCAAUGCAAACACAGCAGAAUCGGAAAUUACUGUGGUCUGUAAGCCUCUGGCAGCCAAUUCUUUUGCAAGGAUAUGUCCUUGGUAUCUGAUUGCAUGCAUAGUCAACAUUAAAUGGUCUUAUGAAAUAUUUAAACAGGUUUCUUAAUAGUAAAUCACCAUCAUUCCAUGCAAAUGUUGGAUGGCCACUACUGCUAACCUUGGGGCACCUUCAGCAACAAAGACCUUAAAUGAUCUUUGUUUUUCCUUCGCAGCAUAAAGAAAUUCCAACACUGUUUUUGAGCUGCCUAGCGUUAAAAUUACCUCACUGAAAAACAUGCAAACAUCAGUGUAAGAGAUAAGAAAAAAGAAUAAAAGACUUUAUUCCAUCUAAAGAAAAAAAUUCUAACAUCAAGACAUGAUUCAAGACAUGAUCGCAAAAAUCAAUAGAAGAACCAUUGCCUAGGUUAUUUAAGAUACCAAGAAUAUAAGAAAAAAAUUAAAAAAGAUAAGGAAAAUAUAUGGACCAUAAUGUUAGUAGUGGAGAUUAAGAAAAUUUUCUGCAACACAAAACAACCUUAAAUUUGAGAAAAACAUCAACAUAAGAUAACUCUUUUUCUCAAUAUACAAAAGACAAACCAAGUCAGAGUUUCUUUCAAAAAGAUAAAAUAUUGAAGACUACAUUGUUGUUGUAAAUUAACCGAUAUUUAUAAAUAUAAACACAAUAUUCUAAGGUAAUGUUAUAACCGUCAAAUUUGUUCUUUGACAAAUAAUUUCAGCCAAUAGUAGCAAACCCCAAAACAAUUUUACAUAUUCAUAAAAUAAUAAGUUUACUUUUUAUCUGUUAUAUAUCCAAGACCAGUAAUCCCAUCACACUGAAAAUAAAUGUAAUCCAAACUCCACAGGAUGCUAAAAAAGGGUAACAUAAGACAGCUUCCAAGUAAAGCUGUUGAAAAGGUAGCGUACAAGAGCAAGAAAGAAAAGGGAAUAGGGGACAACCUAUGACCCUUCUAGAUAAUACAACAAAAAGCAGCUUUAUGUAAAGCUGAGCAAUAGAUAAAAAGUAGGGGUUAUUUUAACAAGUGUUUGAUAAACUAAAUCAAAUAAAUAAUUAAAUAAAAAAAUAGAUGUAAUCUUCCUAUAUAGUUGGAUACUUAACAUGUGCACUGCCUGGUAUACAAUGGUUAUAAAUAACAACUAACAGUUUAGUUUGUGAUUAUUCAUUCAGAACAUCUAGAGAUAGUUAUAAUGUACUGUUCGCUGCUUAGGCCUGGUAAAAAAUACCCGACAAAGGAAACAAAAUCUUUCAAUGCUCCAUUAAGAGAUAACUCUUGGAUGUUGGAACCCUUUAUACAAAUACCCAUUUAGACCAGAAUAAGUCUUAGGAUUGCUCCCGAAUAAAAUAGCAAGGCUACUGGAACAUUGUCGGAUCAAAACAUAUGGCCUGUAAAUAUAUAAAAGUUUCAUUGCCAGUUUUUCACGGUCACAGAACAAUUUGGAUUUUGGAAAGCAAGUAUAGUAUGUUUUCAGACAAGCACUUUAAAGUAUGUAGUCAUAAACAAUAUAUAUUUAGACUAGUUUAAUGGGAAACAAACUUGUGGUGUAUGUGCUCCACUGCCUGCUCAGCAAUUUGUUCAUAGCAAGUAGAUAUGUCUUGAAUAAGUUCAUUGACUGCUUCAAUGACAUCAUGCUUCAACUUCCGAACUUUUGAACCUUUAUCAACAGCUGUAGAAAAGGAAAACAAAAAUCAACACAAAAAGACAUGCAAUUAAACACCCAAACAACAACAACAACAAAUAUUUCAUCGUCAAAUGUCACACAAGGAAACAGUAUUAUAAAUUAUUCACAGGGAUCAACAAAUUAAAUAACCAGUAAAAAAUCAAUCAAGUAUUCUAAAUUCUAAUAUCUUUAAAAAAUUUGAGACAAUGAUAAUAUUUUAUGCAUCAGCAAAAAUUAUCAAACCAACAAAAAAUCUUGUCUUACAUGGGUUUUUGCAUUCGAAAGGAUGAAAUAAAAAAUGACUUUUUUAUUGCAUUUAACCAUGAAUUUCUGCAUGUCCAGGGAAGCAAAAUCCUUUUCUUAUUACGAAGCAAAAAGAAAAUAUAUUGAAAAUAUUAUAAAAGUUGUAAAAAUCUCAAUAGCCUAGUGUGGUCCUCACAUCUACUUCUCCCAUCAGAUUCACCCCCAGAGGAAGAUGUGUGGGGAGCGGCAGCUGAAUCAGACGUAUCCUCUAGAAGAGUUUGUAACGAUGGUGCACGUAAUGUACUUCUAGCAGCAGCUGCUACAGCAGCAGCAGAUAAAACAGGAUUUUCAUCUCGCUCUGCAUCAUCUUCAUCAUCACUUGCCGCUGAUACCCCCAAACCAGCCAUAGCAGCUGUCGCAAGGGAAAGAUCCUCUUCCCUUAUAAUGUGCAAAACACGCAUCACAAUAUUUCCCACGGCUAGCUCUGCAACAACAUACAGUAAACAAUAAACCAAUCACCAUAAUUGCCAAAUCACAAUAAACUUCUGCAUGUGACUGAUAGGGGCACAAAUAUUUCCUUGAAUUUGAGGACAAGGACACCUCCUUUGACUAAAUAUAACACAAAUUUGAUUAAUCAUCACCUUCCAUUCAUGGUGGUGGUAUUUAAACUAAUUACAGUGGCCAGCCAUUGGCUCUCCACUAUGGUAGCAACAGGAAAGGGUAUCUGCAACAUGCAAAUUGGAAUAAAAGGUAAUUGGCAGAUGUAACAAACUUCUCUACUGACACCUAAUGAGUCAUGCAUCAUCAAUCCAAAUCCUUCAGGUAAUCUGGUGGCUUCUUUGAUGUUCUCUUGGGCUUAGUCUCAUGGACUUUCUUGGUAUGGGUCGCAUGUCUAUCAAUGACUCUAAAACAUUCUUCAAUAAAAGCAUAAAUAACCUAAGCAUUCAGGUAGCAAAAAACCACAAAAUAGCACACUUCAACUGUUAUAAUCAUUGAGAAAAAUACAUACAAAGUGCAUUUUUUGAGUCAAUCUCAAAAACUAGUUCAUGGAAUGAGAGUUACCUCCCACUUACACUACGUAUCCAUAUGGCUAGUCAAUUUAACAACUCCUCUCACACCAAUGACUAGACAUCUCAAAUGUCAAUUUUGCAGAAUUGGACAUCUGCGAGCUGCCCUUUACCGGUCUAAUAGGCCAAACAACAACCAUUUAGGAUAGGUUUUAAUCCUAUCUUAGUAUUUGGAUUUGAGACUAAUUCAACUAAAAGGCUAGUUUAUGGAAUAAGGAUUCUUACCACUUAUAUAUUAUGUUAGUUAUAUUAUAUGUGUAGGGAAUGUUGGAUCUCUGACAUGCAUACUUAUAGUUAUAAAUAGAUUAUAAAAAAGCUUGAUCUUAACAUACCAACAGGAUUGGCAGCAAUAAGCUGCUCCCCAAUAGCCCUUACUGCAUGAAUCAGAGCUGUGGCCUGGUUUGUGUGUGGCACCCGCUGCUGUGAUAUGACAGACCGGAGCAACUCUGCUGUGAGCUUUGCUGUUGCCUGAGAACCUUCAAUUUUACUAGCAUCACUCAGCAAAAUAAAUAAAUAAGAAAUCAUAAAUAAACAAUAAAUAGAUAAUAAAUCAAACACACACAUACAGAAAACCAACAAAACAGCUCAUAAACCUCAAAAUAUGGUUCCUAAUACACCAUUUAUUGAACUCAAAAAGUGUCAGAGGAGUAAAAGAUUACCGUUUCUUAAGCUUAUUCAGAAAAUCAUUGACAAGGGUCUGAACAUCCGGCAUUUUGGGCAAACUCAACCUGAAAAUAACAGUACUAAUAAUAAGAAAAAGAGAAAAAGGGUUUUACUUUAUGAAAUUCAGAUAAAAGGGUAACCUAAAGUACAAUUACAAUGUCAAGGGUCUUCUUCAAUUGAAAUUGGAACAAAGAGUGUUUGCGACAAAAUACUUGAGAAUGAAAGAGAAAGAGUACUGAAUUUGAUUCGCAGUUGUAUCCGCUGAACCCCAGAUUGUCUGCAGUCGAGGAUUUAACAAGUCACCAGUGAGCUAAUCGUAACCGUUAGAUAAAAGUCCUCGGAUCAUAAUGUAUCUCGUAAAUCAAACUUCAAAUAUGCAUCCGAAAUUAGAACCGUUGAUCUUCAUCCAACGGUGUAAGUUCACAAUUGCAGUAAUAAGAUGUAGUGAACUCAGUUUCAUGUUGGGCUUUUUCAUUUCUGUUCGAGGAUUCCAAUAGUCCAGGUUCGAGUAGUUACUUUUUUAUUAUAGAUAGAAAUAAGUUUUAAAAAAAAACGAAUAUUUAAAAAUAAAUUGAUGCACACAAAUAAUAAUAUAAUUUAAUAUAAUAUAUUAUACAUGUUUUGUAAACUUAUUAAAUAUGUGUUUUAUUUUUUUUUAAAUAUUCUAGAUUAAAUUUUAAACAAUGUCUUGUUUCCUUUGUUAUUUUAGUUUAACUAAUAUAUUGUUGGUAAAGAGUCAAAUUUCCUUAAUGAAAAAAAAAUCACUAAAUAAAAGACAAACUGUAUCUAUUUUUAGAACUGGAAUUUACAUAUGUCCACCAUUAGAUUCACAUGUUAAAGAUUCUUCAGAAUUUUAUAAUAUAAUUUAGUUUAGAUAAUUUAGAUUUUAUGAAAAAAAAUAUUCAUAUAAAUUAUUGGAAGAAAAUAUACAAGUCGAUGUGUUUGAACACUACAAUAGAAAAAAAAUAAAUUAAUAUUUAACUAAAACAAUUUUUAAAAUAAUAUUUAACUUUAAUUAUUUGUAUUUUAGUUAUUUGCUAUUUUAUAUUAUAAAUUAAUUAAUCUCUAACUAAAUUAAUGACUAUUUUUAUUAUUUUAUAAAUUAAUAAAUUAGUUUUAAAAAUCAAUGUGAAUGUGGAAAUAUUUUAUUGUCCUAAUAAUGUAUUUAACAUUAUUUUUAAAAUAUUUUAAAUUUAUUUUUUAAAUAAUAUGUAUAUAUAUAUAUAUAUUGGUGUCAUAAAAUAUAUGCAUCUAAAAACUUAUAAAAUAAAUUAUACGUGGAAUUGAAAAAAAAAUUAUAAACAGGAUAUAUAUUGAAGAUAUUUAUUUUUUUACAAAAUAAAAAAAAAUCUUGAAAUUACAUUCAUGCACAUGAAUAUUAGUAUAUAAUGUUAUGAAUUAUCACGAUUUAUUCUUAACUUUUAAAAUUAUAAGUAAUUGAUUAUGUAAUUAACUAGUUUAUUUAAAAUUUUAAACUUUUAAACUUUCAUAUGUAUCUUAUCUUUAUAAGACAUUAUACUUAUCACUUAAUAAAGUCAUAUUAAUACUAAAUAUAGUACAUAUAGAAUGAGAGAGUUUUUCUUUUAAAUAUUUCUUUAUUAAUCUUCAAUAUAAUAUAAAAUUAUAUAUCACAUUUAGUUUUAAAGUAUUUAUUCUCUCAUGUAUUUCAUAAUACUAUCAUAUUGUAUAAUAUAUUAUCUUAUCUUAUUUAUGAUAAUUUCUUUAACUUUUUUAAUUAUUUUUUUAGUUUAAACAAUAGUGAUGAACAUCGUAUAAAUUGAACAAUACGUGAAUCAUCGCAAUUGAAUAUACUCCUAACUUAAAGCAAAUGUAAUUUAAGUAUAAAUUUUGGAAAAAUAAAUAUUUUUUUAAACUAAUAUAUAAAUUAAUUACGAAAUUGGUGUUAAUCUAAAUCCAUAAAAAUUCAAGUUUAAUUCAUAUCUAUAAAUAUGAUUAAUAAAUACAAAGUAAAUGUACACAUUUAUUAUCUUCGGUCACCGAAUACUAAAUAUUAACUUAAAUAAAUUUUCACAAAUAUCUCCACUUACCAGCCAAAAAUAAAAAAUAAAAAACUAAGAAAUUUACACCAAUAAAUUUGAACAUGUAACAUUUCCGAACCAUAGGAACCUUAUGAUUUAUAGGAGAACUAAAAUUUAUUUAACCUUUUAAAAUAGAAUGUUAGAGAAGCAUUGACAUAAAAUAUAAAAGAUAUAAUUAUUUAAAAAAAUGUUUAAAGUGGUGGAAGAGUAAAAAAAAGCAAGAGAAUAAGUGUACAUUGUACUUCAUUUGUUGUUGUUUGUUGAACAUAUGUCUUAGUUGUGGAAAAUUGUUUUGGGACAUCUUUUGGUCAAUUCAGUAUUGAGCAGGGUCAUGCAUUUAUUUCCACAUGUGUUUCUUCCUAUUUCGUUUCUUUGUGGAAUAUUUUUAACCAAAUAAUAUGAGAAUCAAUGAAUUAAAAAAAAAAAAAAAAACUGGAUGUCAAAAUGUCUAUUUAUAAAAUAUGGAUGCUAUUUAAUUAAAAGUAUAAAUAAGAUCAUUUUAAAAUUUAAAUAAAUAUAAAUACGAUUUAGUAUAAAGAUUAGCACAGUUUUUUCUAUUUCGUUUAAUCACAUAACAAUUUCUACAAAUUAAUUUACCUAUAAGUUAAUUUGAAGUUUUGAAGAAAAAAGUUUCAGAUUUUUGAAAUCGAUAAAUUCUAAUAUUAUUAAUGUGUUGAAAAUGAUGUUAAUGGGUCCACUUUGGAAUCACUGAAUAAGCAUCCAACGUAACAUCUCAUCAUUUUCAAUUUCUUUUCAACCACUAAAUUCACGCGCCACUCACUCAUACCUUUUUAUUUUUAAUUAUGUAAUAAAUAAAAGUUAAACAACUCUUCAAAUAUAUUAUUGUUAUUUUAUAAAUUUUACCAUUCAAAUUUUCGUACAUACCUUUUAUCUUAACGAUUUUAUAAAGUGAAGAUGGCAACACGUGUAAUAAAGCGAUAUUUUUAUCCAAAAGUUGUAAAAAUAUGUUAAUUUUUAAUUUCACUCUUACAUUAAAAUAAAAUGAAAAAAAAAUAAAUUAUAACUUGUUCUUGGAAUGGUUUACGAAGUUAUUAAACAUUAAUACGUAUUUUGAUUUGAUAUUGAUUAAUUUAUUUAUAAAGAUAUAUUAAUCUCUUAUAUCGAUAAAUGUAACUAAACAUAAAUACCAUAAUUAAUCUAGUAUUAAUUAUAAUUUUUCUGUAAUAUCCAUUUAACAUAAAACAUAUGCAAUACACAACCAACAAAAUUUCCAUGCCUAAUAUUAAGAAAUUUUAGCAUAAUUGUAUAAUAAGGAAAUAUCUUGAAGUACGUUUCUGUAAUUUUCUUUUCAUUUUCAUGUUCUUAGUCAAAGUUAGGCAGAUGCAAUAAAUUGGUGAAGCAAUAAUUCAUACAGUAGGGUGAUAUUAACAAUUUUUCUUAUUUCCAGAGAAAUAUUUACAGUAUUUGCAACAAUUGAUACAAUAGGGUGAUGGUUUAAAGUAAUUAAACUUAUUUACUAGAAACAUGUGAAUUUAAUUUUUUACAGUGAAUUUUUUUUGAUUUUAAAAUUAAUUAAAUUUAUAAUAUUUUAAAGUAAUUAAUAAAAUUUUUAUUCAAAUAAUAAAUUUGUUCAAAUGAAAUGAAUUAAGAUAUUAGCGAGUUUAAAUUUAACUUAUUAGUUUAAUUUUAUUAACUUCCAAAUAAAACUUUGUAAAAUAAAUUAUUUUCAUUCCAUUUUGUGUGUUAGUUUAAACAUGUAUUAACAAUAAAGUAACAAAUAAAAAUAUGUACUCAUACAUUUCUCUUAAAUGACACGUAUUGGAUACAUUUAUUGAAUUUCUGAUAAUUCUAGCACGAGUUUAACACAAUUUUAAGUAAGAUAAAUACAUUAAUUUUCUAAAAACUCAAACUUAUUCUACAAAUUUUUAUUAUAAUUAUAAAAUUAAGGAAAAAAUUAUUUUGAACCAGUCAUAAAAAACAUAUUUUGUUCCAAACAAAAAUUAAAACAUAUUUAGUGCACAUAAAUCUUUAUUAUCAAUUUAUAUAAUUCAUAAUUAUAUAAUAUAUAAUUUUUUGUCUCAUGUCCUACAUUUUAGAGAUUAUAUGUAUCUCCUGGCAAUAUCAGUGUCGGUGCUACAUAAAUUAUUAUAUGAAAAUAUUUAAUAAUUAUAUAUUGUAUUAUUUAAUUAUAGUCAAUAAUUAAAAAUUAAAGUAAAAGCAUUAAUAAUUGAUCGAUACUAAAAUUGCACGCGUUGGGGUGCGAGUGGGAGUGAGUGGGAGAGUCGUUGUCUACUCCUCAUAGGGAUGACAAAGAAUGGCAUAUUUUAACAUACACGCAAUCCCAUGACGUCAUCUUCUUGAUUUUUGUGACAUCAUCACUCACGUUCUCACGCAUCAUCUUCCUGUUACUCUCCAAUUUGCCCCUCUAAUUCCCACGAAUAUCUAACUUUUGUUUGUUGUUAUUAUACUAUUACUUUUCCAAUAAAUUUUAAUAUAAUCAAUUACACAUGGAGUUAAUAUAAAAAAUAAUCCAAAUAGAUGCUAAUUAUUCACGCUUGAAAGAAAAAAACCAUUUAAUGAAGUAGAAAAAACUUGAGAAUUAUUUUUAUAAAAAUUAUUUUAUUAAACAUUUCAAAUACCAACAAUCAAAUAUCAAAAUUUAUAUAUUAACAAAAAUAGCACAUACAUAAUCUAUACCUAUUAACACAAAAUUUUAAAAAAUAUUAAAUAAAAACUUAUUAUAUAAUAUCAAUUAAAUUUUAUUUUAUGUUUGAAAUAUUUUUUCACUAAAAAUGUAUUGGGGGCAACAACCAAUCCAAGUACGCUUUUGAUAGAUAUAGUUGCCUUAUAAAAAGUAGAACCAACUUCAAACCUUUCUUGGUAGAAGUAUCUAUUAGGUUAAAUGAGCCUAACAUGUGUUUUUUAAAAUUUACAAUUAAUAAAUAAAAAAUAAUUUUGAAUAUAAAAUUAGUUAGAUAGUAUUUUAUAAAUGAUUAGGUAACACUAAAUACAUUAAAGUUCAUAUAUAGGAGAAUGUUUAAAUUUAAUAUUUUCAAUAAACAAACCAUAGCAUAUUUACUAACAGAUGAAAAAUAUAAUGAUUUUAUAUAACAGCAUUAUGAAAUAAGAACAUAUUGAGCACACCACAGAGAAGUAAAAGCUAGUUACGGCAAUAAAUCAAAUUUAAAAGCAACACAUUUUUUCCAUGCAUACCAAAACACAUGGUACAAUUGGUCAACAUUCCUCCCACGACAUAAAUAUAACAAUAUAAUAUAUAUUUUAUUUAAUACUUGUUUUAAUCUAAACAACAAUAUAUAAUAAGAUAUCACAUCAUGUUUUGAUUUUUAUCAAUCAAAGUUAUUUUCAUUUCAUAGAUAAUGCUUUCUCUUUUAUCAACACUUCAAUAAGGAAUUUUUUUUAUAUGAAUCGUAAUCUGUGAUAAAUAUCGUAAUUUGUGAGAUUUUAUAUGUGAGAUUUUAUAAAGUAAACUUUAAAUAUAAUUUAAUUCAUAAAAUUGUUCAUAAGAUAAAAUUUACACGUACUUAUAUAUAAUUAAAUAUUAUCAAAAUAUUAUAAUUUAAUUGAUGUAAAAUUUUCGAGAAACAUUUAAAAAUAUUUAAAACCGACAAUAUAAUAUCUCGAAUUUAUAAUUUACCAUAAUAAUAUUAUGGCAACGAACUUUAGAUCAAUGAAUAAAUUACUUUCAAAACAAUUAGAUUAAGAAUGAUUAUUUUAAAAUAAUCUGAUGCUGUGAGUGAUCUCAUAAUAUCUGACCGAGAAAAAAGAAAAUUCACCGAAAAGUGAAAGCAUAUUUAAAUGACUGGUGGUGGACUGUGCACAUUUAUUUAUAUAAUAUAUGUUGAUUGGAAGAACAGGAAAAGUGAUUGUCUUAUUUAAAAACAGGAACAUUAAUAGAAUUCAAUAUCUUCACAUGGAGGAAACAAAUUCUAUAUAAGUUCUUGCUCAUUUUGAUUUGGCCUUGUGGAUCUGAGUCUUCAUCAUCAUCGCCAUGGAAAUGGAGAAGAGGAAGAACAAGAGGGUCACCAGGGUGGAAGAAGAGGGGGAGAGAGUGAAGAAGAAGAGGUUAAAGGGUGAAGAAGAAGAACAUGGUGGUGGCGGUGAUGGGCUUCCUACGGAGGAGGAGGUGGAGGAGUUUUUCGCCAUAUUAGGGAGGAUGAGGGUGGCCGUUAAGUACUUUGACCACAAAGGGAGGGGCGGCGCGAAGUGGCGGGAGGCGCUCGAGACGGUGGAGCUUGCGGUGGACCACGGCGGAGAAGCCGACGGCGCCCAAGAGGGUGAUGACGGCAACCCAAAGAAAAAGGGUGGGGAGGUGACUAAUGUAACUGAGGGUUUUGACUUGAACGCCGCGGCGCCGGAAUCCGCCGAGGGCGGCGGAGCGUAGAUUUGUGUUGGCGUGUGGGUCGCACGCGCCGCCGAUGUAACUGCCAUGACGUUGGAGGUUUGUGUUUCUCAAACGUAUGCGUUGCCUUGUUUUCUCCGAACAAGAAAAAGGAAAAAUGAAUCUGCGCUUCUUUUCUCUUUGUUUAUCUUUUCGGAAUUAAUUAGGUUUUAAUUGUAAUUGUAAUAAUAAUUUGGAACAUUUUUUUUAAUCUUUUUUCUUCCUUACCUUCCUUAAUCUCAAAUGAAACACAAAUUUGUUUUUGUUUUGUUACCUGUUGUCCUUUUUUUUUUCUGGUGAUGAGGUAAUGACACAUAUUUUUAUUGAAGGAUCCUAAUUUCUCUUACAAUGAAUUUCUUUAUUUAAUAAGAAAAAAAUAUUAAAAGUUUUUUUUCCGUAUAUUUAUCAGGGACAUUGAAGCAUUCACUAGUACAAAUUUGCAUCUUUUUAAAAUUGUUGAUUAUAUUAAUGGUGCCAUGAAUGAAAUUCACUUGGUUCGAUAUCAUGAGAGAUGAAAUGUAAAUCUAAAUAAUAGUCUAAAGUUAGUGAUUUAUUACUCAAGGAGACUAGCUGAAUUGAUUUAACUGAAUCUAUAUAUUGUAAAUUAUUUGGCAUGUUUUUAGUUUCUAUAAUAACAAUAACAUCAUAAAAUAUCGAUUAAUGAGAUCGAGAUUUCACGAAAUUAGGUUAUUUUAUUUAUAAUAUAUAGAUGAGUGAAAAUUUUAUGUUAUAAAUUGGUUUUAUGAAGUUGAAUUAAAUUUAAAGUUACUUUUUUAAUUAUUUUCAUAUCAUAAUAAACAUCUCACUUUAUAACUUUAACGAUAAAAAUAAUUAUAUAAAUAUGAAUGAAAAUCGAUUUUAUAACUUAACGAUAAAAAUGAUUACAUAAAUAUGAAUGAAAAUAUGAUUUUUUUGAAGGUUAACUGUCUAGAAUAAUUAUGUAAGAAAAGAUGGGUUUUUGUCUGCCAUUGAUUGCAUCACAUUGCCAACUUUUGCAAUUUGGGUUUGACAAGAUUGGUGGUGGGUUGCUUAGCAUAUAAAUGACCAUAAAAAUAAGUCAAUAUGAUUAGGACUAAUCAAAAUUUCAAUUCAAUGCUUUGAUCAAAACGAAUAUCAAAGUUCGUUUAUGUUAUGAUUGAAUUUAAUUAUGACUUUGAACAAAAAUAAAAGUUUGUAAUACAAGGUAUUGGUUUGAAUGAUGAAUUUGAAAGAGAAUUUAUUCACAAUUCAACAAAUCAAAGUGGAGUUUCAAAAGAAACAUAAUUGGAAAAAAAAGUCUAAAGUGAAGAAGUGUAGUGGAAUGUAACUAGUAAAACUCUAGGAAUGUAAAACGAUCAAAAGUAAAUGCUUAAAGUAAAAGAAAGGAUUCAAAUCGAUAAAAGAAAGAUUGUAAACGUUUGAUGCUGUAAGCAUAUGCUUUUUGAAAAGCAAUUCCAAAUUGGAAAAGAUUUAUUUGACAUCAUAAAGUUUCACACCAAAUUAUAAUAUUUAAAAUUAAAAAUGAUUAAAAUAUUAUUUUAUUAGUUUGUGAAGUGUAUGUUUUUUUACUAGUAUUAACGAAUCACCACCCUUUUAAAUUAAAAAAUAGAAAAAUCAUUUAAAAGUUUCCAUCAUUUUAAAUAAAAUAAAAUAAAAUAAAAUUCACUAAAAAAAAUAAAAAAAAACUGAGAAAAGAAAGGUAGUAUUAUGUAUUACAACUAUUUUGUUGUUCUGCUAGAUGAACGAAAUAAAUUCCACAGUUGAUGAUGAUUAAGGGAAAAAAAAGUUUAUGAUCAAUUCAAGAUAUUAUUCAUUUUCAUUUUGAAGUUUUUAAACUUCAUUAGAACUUUAUAUUAAAAAACAUAUCGAUAAAUUAAAGAAAGAAUAUUUAAAAUAACUUAUAAAUAAUUAAUUUUUUUAUAAAAAUAUACAAAACCAAAGUCUAAAACCAUGAUGAUCCAAUGGGUAGUGGUGUCUACGCGUGGAGGGGGGUAGAAAAAGAAAAAAAAUGACAGAAGGUUUGAAAAGUAUCUUCCCUUUCCAUUAUAACUUCUGUUUUCUAUUUUUCUUAAAAUAAAAGUUCAGGUCAAUUAUUUUUAAAUUUGAAUUUUAUUGAUGAUCAAUAAGACCAAGUGUAUUUUCAAAAUAAAAAAUCGAAUUCAAAACCAUGUAAACCAAUAACUUGUUAAUUAUAAAAUUUUACAAUCAUUUCAAAGAACGUUGAUUUAAUUCGAUAAAGGAAUACAUUUUAUGAAAAUAAUAUAAAUUUAAAUAUUAAAGUUAUGAAUUUUAUGAUGUCCUCCUGCAAAACAUUGUAGCUUUAUAAAAUAUUAGUAAACUAUAUAAUAUUAUUACACUGUAUUAAAGUCUUCAAAGUAUAUAAUUAAAUAAAUACUUCUAAAAUGAAAGUCUAUUUACUUUAAAUCAUACCAAUAAACACACAUAAAAACAUGCAAAUAUACUAAUAAAAUUUAUCUUAAUGCAAAUAACAAGAUUAGAUAUAUAAAUAUAAAUUAACUUAUUUAGUUGAAUGAAACAUCAUUUGGAAGACUAUAAAAUACAAUAAACAAAUCUUACUAGAAACUAAUAUUUGACACACAUUAGAAUAAGGUUAAGGUUUUUAAUGUUAGAGUGACACAAAACAUCUACUCUCAAACUAUAUGUAUAUUUACUAUGAAGUUUGAUGUAAGUUUCAUUUAAAUUCUCACAACAUAAAAUUUUGUCUAUGUGAUUAAAUAACAAUGAAGUCAUGAUACUUCAUGUUUAUCACCAUCAUCCAAGGUAUGAUACCACCCUGAGUAUCCCUACACCGCCCUUAAAGAUGUACCAACUCAGGAAGUGUCACCAUAUCUAGAGUCAAACUUUAUAUACAUAUAUACCACUUUAUAUACAUACAUACACAAAACACAAACAAACAAACACGAAGGACCAACAAAAAAGGGUAUACAUCAUACAAACAUUAUAUCAUUCAUCUCGACAUCAAUUAUAUAUUUAUCCAAAGCAUAUAAAAUCAAUCUCACAUUUUAUACAUCAUACAUACCAUGUAUAAAGACAUAUAACAUAUAUAAAAUAUUCAAUCAUGACAUAACAUCAUCACCAUCAUAGUAAAUUGUCACUUGAGCGAAAUGCAACAAAAAUGCAACACCCUCUCAGGGCUCUUCUCGCUUGAGGGACCACCUCAUCGCUCAAGCGUUAGUCACUUAAGUAACAUCCACUAUUAAGUUUUAGAGAAUCCUUCCACUACUUUUGGUAGCUUGAGCACCCAAGAGCUUGAGUGCUCAACCUAGCAUUGGAGCACCCAAUGAUCGUGCUAAGCACUAAUAUGUCCAUGACACGUAUGCACCACCUCAGCCACGGUUAAGUAUCCACCACAAUCCUCAAGCCAAAAAGCUUAAGUUCCUUCUCCAACACUUGAGUGAUUGAUAGUUGUCAUUUUGAUGUCAAAUUAAAAUGGUUCCAGCGUAGACUUGUCUAACGCUAAAGAGAUGAUAGUAUACAAGUGAUUAGAUGACCUCAAGUUGUCUCUCAACGAAUUCAAUAAUAAAAUCAGUAAAUCAAUGUUUAGAAUCUAUCUGCAAGCAAUAAAAUUUAGCAAUAACAAUAUAAAGAUAAAAAGAGGAUUGAGAUAGUUGUGCAAAAAAUAUAAAACAAAUUAAAAUAGCAAUUAAAAUGCGGUUGAUCAUCAAGUUCUUCCACCAUUAAAAUUCUUCAUAGAUUCUCUAAAGAUUAAUCAUUUCUCAAUCCUCCAACAAAGCUAAACCAAAUUGAACUUGCGUCAGUCUAAUUCAACUGAAACUCACCAGUAAAACAUGAGUCUACUGGUUUAAUCAAUACUCACUUUGUUCCAUGCGUAUACUCCAUGGAAAUGCUUAUCUCAUCUCUCUUGAAUCAUGCGCCCAAGAAAUUAAUUAGAACAAUGCGAACUAACUAAGAAACUAAAAUUUAAGAUAAGGAAGACUCUCAAUGAUGCAUUCAAGUACAACCUCUCACAAAAAUCAGUUUUCCAUGAGAUUAGAAUAUUAAAACAACUACUAUAAAAAAAUAAAAAUUGAAACUUUUAUUGAAAAAAAAUCUCAAAACUCAAUGGGAAAUUACAAAGGAAUCAACCAAAAAGGUUUAGCCUUCCAUGUGGAGGCAAAACAAAAGAAUUACAAGAAAAAAAGAAACUAAGAAAACCCUAUGAAACUCCCUCCUUUCUCCUUGAUGCUUGUGUCCUUUUAUAGGCCUUUAUGCUCCAGGGAUCUUGGAAAAAUAUUGUAGUCUAGAUUUUGUUAACAAUUUCAAAGUUUUUGACUUUUCAGAAUUCUUGUAUUUUGCAGAAGAUUUGCUUCCAAUUCUGUUUCUGAGAUAUUGUAGCUUUUAUUUUCUCUUUCUUCUCCUCAAAAUUUGUUUUCUGUUUUGAUUAAAAAAGCAACUUUGACUUUUGCAUAUUUGGCCCAUUCACUAAGGUAGACACUUCUUUCAGACCAUUUACUCUAAAAACACAAAAUUAACAAAAAUAAUAGUUAAAGCCCAAAUAAACUCAAUUAUAUGAAUAUUAAUUAAAAAAAUUUAUUUAUUUAUUAUUAUAGUUCAAUAAUCCAUGAUUAAAGCUAUUGAGUGUGAAUAAAUAUAUGCUCAUCAAUGAUAUACUUGAGAAUUGACUCAACAUCUAUGUCACUUGAACAAUAAGCCACAACUUGAACUAUAUAACAUGUCACUUGGACAACCAACACAUUUCUUAAGUGAUAUAAGACAAUAAGUGUAAUGAUUACAUCACUUAGGUCUCUCUUGAGUGUCAAGUGACCGUAAAGCAACCCCAAAGGGCUCAAACAAAGGAUAUUCUCAAAGAUUUCCAAAUUGUAUGUGGAUUCUUACCAUCCCAUGUCCAUCAAAGAGUUAUUUUAAGACUUAUAUCCAACAAUGUAUCAUCACAACAACUCUACAACUCUUCUAACAUGCAUAUAUUUUACAUAAUAUCAACCUCCAUGCAUUACAUACAACUAACAACUAUCAUAUUGUAAAAAAUUGACAUAAUAACUCCCCUUGUCUAGAUUGAAGUAUGCUCUCAUAACAACCAAUACUUGAUCAUUUUUCCUAAGACUCUAAUGAAUCUAGAGAAGUUCUCAAAACAUCAUUUUAUAUGAGCAAACAUUUCCUCUAAAUCAUUCAUACAAGUAAAGAAGAAGAGAAGAAAAAAAGAGAAGACAAAAAGAUAAGAAAACUCAUAUAUGAUUGAGGUUACUUACCAAGACUAACUUCUCAUCAAUCCAAAACAAUUAGUACCUUACUAACUCCACAAAACCUCAAUCUAGUAAAGAAUCUAUAAUUAAAAACUCACUUAUAUCUGUCGAAAAUGACAACUUUUACCAUAGCCGUUGUUUUAUAUCUUUCAAAAGGGUCUAAAGUGGUGGCUUUUACCAUAGCCGUUGUUUUAUAUCUCUCAAGAGGGUCUAAAACAACGCCUUUUUACCAUAACUGACAAUUUAUAUCUUUCAGGAGGGUUUAAAACAACGAAUAUUUACCAUAAUUGCCAUUUUAUAUCUUUUAUGAGGGUCUAAAAUGAUGAAUUUUACCAUAACUGCCAUUUUAGACUGAAUAUAACACGACAAUUAUAUAGUCGUAGUUUUUGCUUGAAGAAAAUAGACUACACGUUGAAAGACAGCGGUUCAAAAACUGUUGUUUUAAUGCUAAAAUGACUGUUGUGAUUUAGCUUUUUCUGUUGUCUUUGCUUAAAGAGAAUACACUAUCUUUGCUUGAAGAGAAUAAAUUACAUGCUAAAAGACAACAUUCCAAGAACCGUUGUUUUAAUUCUAAAAUGACCAUCGUGAUUUAGCUUUUCUGGACCAGUGAUGGUAAACUUUCUUUUUAGAGUGAUGGUGAUAAACAUCUAUCGAUUUGAAAUUGAAAGAGUUAGAAAGUAAGAAAAAAAACAUGAUAAAAAUAUUAAAUAAUAUCAUAGAAAUAAAAAUGGAAGAGAAAUGUAAAUAAAUUUAAAUAAAAAUUAGAUGUGAGAGUAAGUUAGUUUAUAUUGAUUUGUUUAGCGAUUUAAUAAUUGAAAAAGUCAAAUAAAAAAGAGUAAAUUAUAGUAAUAUUUGCUAAUAAUGUAAUUAGACCCAUGUUUGUUUUUUUUCUAUGCUAUACUUUAACUUAUAAUAAUCCUUUCCAUUAUUAUAAACUUUUUUAAAAUUACAUAACUUUUUUAAAAUUAUGCACUAAUAAUAGGCAUGGUCAUAAUAUUUUGUUAAUAUUUAUCUUAAUAUAUAGAUACACACACAUAAACAUUAUUCUAAUUGCAAUUGUAUCCUUAUUUAAUUGUAUAAUUUAAGUAUUAUAUAAUAUUAUGUUAACAUGUGAGAUUGAAUCUGUUUUAUAUGUUGUUACGUGUGGAUUAUUAGGAUGAUAAAAAAAUAUAAAAAGAGUAAACUGCAUGAUGUUAUUAUUUUGGAAAACUUUUCUUUUAACACUCGAAACAAAAAACAAACACUUAACAGCUCUUUUUAAUAAUAUAAUAAUAUUUUAAAUAAAAAAUAAAAUAAAAAUAUAAAAAUAUUAAUUUAUUAGAAUGUUAGGUGUAUGUAUUUAGUAUAGAUUCUUUUAAUAAUAUAAUAAUAUUUUAAAUUAAAAAAUAAAGUAAAAAUGGUUAAAAUAUGAACAUUAUUAGCAGCAAAGAACAGUGAAUAUAAGUGUUUUACUGUGACAGUGAAGGUGGAGUUUGGAGUCUAGAGGUUGUUGAGGACGAUGUUGGCGAGAUUCAAACCUUCACAUGUGGUGUCAUCAUCAGAGAUCUUGGAAGAAAAAGACCAAGAGAACCCUGAGGUGGCAGAGAACCCAACGCUCACCCACUCCGGAAGAAGGCUCUCGAGCUCCACUCUCUGAGAGACGAUGUAGUUCGUUGGCUGAGAAGGGUAAACCAGAGAAGCCACCAAGAGCUUCGUGGAGGACUCAUAGGUGAUCUGAACCUCCGCGUUUUCUCCGUUGACCAAUUCCCACGGCGUCGUUUUCAUAGACUCGAUGGAGUUCACGUCGAUGCCAAUAUGACGGCCUUCGGGGUCCCACUCCUGGUUGACGAAGGUGUCGAACUCCACAGCCACAGUAUGGGCUUUGCUGUUGUAUUUGUCGCUGUCGAAAAGACCUAGAAAACCGCCUUGCUUUGUUGGGAACGAGAGCAAAGCCAAGGCCAUCGGCGGCUUUUGCUUUGUUGGGAGCGUGGAUAUUGAAUUUGAAGUUUGUGGUGAAGCUGGCGACUUUUCCGGUGGCGCUGUCUUAGAUUUGGAUGGGGGCGGAGUAGAAGGCGCGGCCCAGAGAGGCCACCGUGGGUUCUCCGUUGCUAUUAACAUUGGUUAGUCGUAACUGGCCGGAGGAUGAGACGGAGGCAUCGCCUUGGAGGAUAAGGUUGGUUUCGUUGAACCUAUCGAAGCUGAAGGAGGUUUCGCUGGCUGAGUUUGCGUGGCUGAGAAGCACAAGGAAGAGGCUAGGUUGAGUAAGUUGGAGGAAGCCAUGUAUGCAUUCAUGCAUUAACCAUCACUCUCUUCUCUAUUUAUACAACAACAAAUGCAAAAUCUUUCCAACUUUUUUAUUUCAUUCUAUUAUUAAAUACGUGUUUUCGAAUGAUUAACUUUUUUCUUUUAUAAUAUUAUUUGAGAGAGAAAUAAGAAUAUUAAAAUAAGAAUUAAGCAACGAUUGAUUUUACAACGAUUCAACGUUUUGCUACGAUUCUUAAUUACAAUGUGUCGAUAACUCUUUUUAAGUAUUUGGGUAUGCUGGUAGGGGGUGUCAUUGGAGAGGUGCUUUUUGAGCGGACAAAAAUUCCAAAAAUCCACCAUUUAUUAUUAAUCUUUUUUAUUAUUUAGGUAUUUUUCAGGUAUUUUAAGGUUUUAGUUCUCACAGUUACCCUAAUUAGAAAAUUCUAAUUUUUUUUUCAUGAUUUUUUAGUUAUAAAUUAGUGAUAUAUCAAAACCCUAUAAAUUAGUGAUAAUUCAUAUUUUUCGUGAAGGGAAUGCGUGUGCUAAUAAGUUGGCUAAUUUAGGAUUUAUUCAUAGAGAAUCAUUUCAUUGGUAUAAUAGACUCCCAGCUAGUCUGUUCUUAGAAUUCUUUAUGAAUAGGUAUAAUCUACCUAUUUAUCGUUUUUGUUAACAUAUGGGUUUUGGUCUAGUCCCGUCAUAUUUUUGUAUUUUCUUUCUUUUUUCUUUUUUUUUAAUAAUAUUUUUUUUAUGUGAUGACAAAUGAUUGUUGUUACUUGAGGUGUCAGCUUAGCUGAGAUGUCAAGUUGCAUAGUGAUGCCUAACACGAAAACUUUAUAUAAAAAAAAACCCUAUGGACAUAUAUAUGUCAGAUUUGUUAGAAUUUGCAUAUGGAGAUCAUUGUAAGAGCAUGACUGGAAGCAAAUAAUAAUAUUUAACUUAUUCUUUAUAAUUUUUUAACACUAAUUAAUGUGAAUCCUUUUUCCCGCCAUAGAAUAUGUGAGAAAUGGGCCACGUAUUUCCUUAAUUUCUAUAACUCUAAGAUAAAUAAUCAAUAAUAUAGGAAUUAGAUAGAUAGAUAGGAAUAUAUAUGUUAUUAGUGUUUGUAAUACAUCUUUAUCAAUGUAUAUAAUUUGAUUAUCUGAAUAUAUGUAUCAGGGCUAACUUAGUUUUAAUUGUACAAGUCAAUUUAGAUAGGAUUAACAUUAAACAGAAUGAACUAAACAAAAAAUUCUCAUUUAAAAUGGCGGCUUUUACCAUAACUGCCAUUUUAUAUCUUUCAAGAAGGUAUAAAUGACGACUUUUUAUCAUAACCGUCAUUUUAUAUCUUUAAGGAGGAUCUAAAACGGUGACUUUUUACCAUAACUGUUGUUUUAUAUCUUUUAAAAAGGUCUAAAACGACGACUUUUACCAUAAUUGCUGUUUUAGACUGAAUAUAACACAACGAUUAUAUAAUCUCUGUCUUUGCUUGAAAAGAAUAGACUAUAUGUUGAAAGACAACGCUACAAGAACCGUUGUUUUAAUACUAAAAUGAUCGUCGUGAUUUAAUUUUUUUCAUCAGUAAUUGUAAAGUUUCUUUUUAGAGUGUUGAUAAACAUAUAUCGAUUUGAAAUGAAUAGAGUUAGAAAGUAAAAAAAAAAUACAAGAAAAAUGUUAAAUAAUGUCAUAGAAAUAGAAAUGGAAGAGAAGUGUAAAGAAAUUUAAAUAAAAAUUAGAUGUGAGAGUAAGUUAGUUUAUAAAUUGAUUUGUUUAAUGAUUUAAUAACUGUAAAAAUCAAAUAAAAGUAAAUUAUAGUAAUAUGUACUAAGAUUUAAUGUAAUUACACCCAUGUUUCCUUUUUUUUUCUCUGUUAUACUUUAACUUAUAAUAAUCCUUUCCAUUAUUAUAAACUUUUUUAAAAUUACAUAUUUUUCAAAUUAUGCACUAAUAAUAUAAUAAUACACAUGCUGAAUAAUACGCAGUGUAAAUAUAUGAGCUCCUAUUUUAUUUAUGCUCCCAUUUGUGACAGAUGAAGAUUAUUAGCAGGAAAGAAGAGUGAGAGUGAGUAUAAGCAGGGUUUUACUGUCACAGUGAAGGUGGUUUUUGGAAUCUAGAGGAUCUUGUUGAGGAGGAUGUUGGCGAGAUUCGAAUCUUCAGAUGUGGUGUGACAGGAGAACUUGGAAGAAAAAGACCAAGAGAGCAGGUCGUGCGUUUCACUGGACACGUUAGAUGACCCUGAGGUGGAAGAGAACCCAACGCUCACAUUUAAUAAUAAUAUUAUGUGAUACCUCACAAUUAUUUAUCUUAUUAAUUGAUCAAUUACCAUAAUUAUCCUAUUAUAUUAUUGGUAAUUACUAUUAUCAUAAAUAAUUAGGGUUUCUUCUUGGGUGUAUUAUAAAUAGAGAUUACCAGACAACUAAAGAGACACUCUUAUAUUCUAACAUCACACGGUCGAAACUCAUUCCCUAAAGGGAUUUUCGAGCCUCUCAUCUCUUUGUCUCUCUGCUCACAUAAUUCCAUUUUAAGCGAUACACUCUAAAGGGAAACCCGAUCAAGAUCAUGUCUUCGUCCCUCAGCCAUGCGAUCACGGGUUUACCAAGUAUUAUCUAAUCAUUAUUCUCGUUUCAUUAUAUGAUUGAGGAAUCCUAAUCCAACAUGUGGUAUCAGAGUCAGGUUUAUGUUGUUUAAUCGAUUCUUCUUUUGUUUUCCCUAAAUUUGGAAGAAACGAGGAUUUUGAUUCAACCUAUUGAUUUUCGAUGUUUUUAUUUUGGUAUAUUAUUGAACCACUUAUUUUCGAAAAUCCACCUUGAUAUCAUAAAAUAAAUUUUAAUUUUUUCGAGAUCCAUAAUUAUUUUAAGAUUUUGAAAAUUAAAAUUUAAUAUUAAUGUUAUGUGUUCUUCAUAAUUUUCGUGAGUAUUCCCUUAUUUGGAAUGGAAUUAAUUUUGAUUAUAUGUUCAUCAUCAUUAUUUGUUGUUCGUAUGAAUUUUUGAAAAUUAUGAAUAAAGAAUUUUCAAAAAUUAAUUAUUCCCUUAAUUAGGAAAUUUUGAAAAUAAUAUUUUUCCUUAAUUCAAAUUUUCGAAAUACAAUUGAUUCCCUUAAUUAGGAAUGGAUUUGAUUUGAUUUGAUUGUGUUUUUCUAAAAAAAUAAAUAAAAAUUGAUAUCUUAGUCUCCACGUUUUUCCUUAUUUAGGAUAGUAUAUUCUUGCCUUAUUAAUUUUCGGGUAUUAUUAUUAUUAUUACUAUUUUCGAAAAUAGCAGUCGUGUCAAACUUGGAAACAUAUCAAUCUAAUUAAAAUUUUGAAGACCAAAUCUAAAAUCAAAUCCUUAAUAUUCCGCUACUCACUUAUCGAGUUUACGAGUAACAUAUUUACGCGUUUCCUUUUAUUUAUCGAAUUAAAUAUGGUAAAUCUCAUGAUACCGUAAUUAUGUUUUAAAAAAAAUACUUAUUUUGUUAAACUCUUAAAACAAAAAUAUUAAGUUUGACAAAAUUAAAAUUAAAUUUUUUGCUUAAACUUAAUAACAGGAGUCUCCCUUCUGUCCAACGAUGAUGGGUUAUGUCUUGUUAUUUUAGUCUAAUUAAGCACCUUCACUUACUUGUGAGUACACUUAAUUAUUAAAUAUUCGCAUGACAUUUGCCUAAAAACACAAUUAUUUCUUAUUUCUAUUCUGUCCAACGAUGUUUGAUGCACUUGUGUUUUGCAAACUUAAUAUGUGCAUAAGCUUAAAUGUUCAAUUCUGUCCAAAGAUGAUGUGUCACAUUCUUAUUGCACAUACCUUACUUAUAAUUGUUCAUUAUUCUUAAAUAAUUGGUAAUUAACCAAAGUGAAAGCUGAUUGUUUAAGUAGAACCUAAUCUAGUCUAUUAUUUUGAUGUUAUAAUAGAUUUUAUCACAGCUUCAUUAUCAUAAUGGUUCUUACUUAUGCCUGCUUUAGAUCUAAGUUUCCAAAUGUCACUCUAACUUUUUCCUUAGCCUAAGUAUCUUAAUUCGUCGUCUAACCAGCCCCUAAUAUGGAAAUUGAGACCUUGACUGGUGAAAAUCAUUCUUCUUGGAAAGAUUCCUUGAUGCUNNNNNNNNNNNNNNNNNNNNNNNNNNNNNNNNNNNNNNNNNNNNNNNNNNNNNNNNNNNNNNNNNNNNNNNNNNNNNNNNNNNNNNNNNNNNNNNNNNNNNNNNNNNNNNNNNNNNNNNNNNNNNNNNNNNNNNNNNNNNNNNNNNNNNNNNCAAUCAUUAGAGGAGGCAUUCCUGAUUCACCUAACGCUAAGGCUUAUCUAGCUUCUGUGGAGGAACAAUUUCAAGGAACCUCUAAGGCUCAUGCUAGUACUCUUAUCUUGAAGUUGGUGACUACAAAAUAUGACGGGCGCACCGGCAUUCGUGAACACAUCCUGAUGAUGAGCGACAUGGCCCGUAAACUUAAGGGAUUAGCCAUGGAGAUCAGUGAAGGUUUCCUAGUCCACUUCAUUAUGACUUCUCUUCCUUCUGCGUUUGAAGCCUUCAAAGUCAACUAUAAUACUCAGAAGGACAAAUGGUCCAUGAGUGAGUUGAUUGCUAUGACUGUUCAAGAAGAAGAGCGCCUGAAGUUGGAGAAACCAGAUGUUGCUUACCUCGUGGCUGCUGAGUCGAAGAAGCGGAAGGGCAAAUUCCAUAAAAAGGAAUCUAAUAAGGUCCCUAAAACUGAUGCAAGUGCACCCUCCAGCUCUAACAAAUUCACUAGCAAGUUCUACUGCAAGUUCUGCCGCAAGGUAGGACAUAAGCAGUCUGAGUGCUCAAGCUUUAAGGAGUGGUUGGCUAAGAAAGGUAAUCAUCUAAAUAUGAUAAUUGAGUCCUUUAAUUUAAAUGUUCCAACUAAUACUUGGUGGUUUGACUCUGGUUCUAUGGUUCAUGUGACCAAUUCAAUCCAGGGAUUCCUUACAAUCCAGAAGCUGGAAAGAAACCAAAGAACACUUAAGAUGGGGAAUGGACAAGAACUAUUUGUCGAAGCUGUCGGAAUCUUAGAAUUACUUAUGAAAACUGGAAAAUGUAUUAAACUUUAUGAUACCUUAUAUAUUCCCGAAAUUACUCAGAAUCUUGUAUUAGGACCAAAGUUAGACAUUGAUGGUUUUUAUGUUUCCCAUGGUCAUGGCAAACUUACUAUUUCUUUAAAUUCUCAAUUGUUUGGUACUGGUUUUCUGGAUAACGGUCUCUAUAAGUUAGAACUAGAUGAUAACUUCUCCAAAUCUUUGUUAUCAUAUAAUAUUAAUGAGAACUUAACAAAGACCAAGAGAAAACGAGACUUAGAAACUUCAUCCAUGUUGUGGCAUCAACGUUUAGGCCACAUUUCACGAGAUCGCUUAUCUCGACUUGUGAAGGAUGAAGUCUUACCAUCUCUCAAUUUCACUGAUUUUGGAACAUGUGUCAAAUGCCUCAAAGGCAAAAUGACAUCCACGACUAAGAAAGGCAAAAUGACAUCCACGACUAAGAAAAAAAAAUACAAGAAAAAUAUUAAAUAAUGUCAUAGAAAUAGAAAUGGAAGAGAAGUGUAAAGAAAUUUAAAUAAAAAUUAGAUGAGAGAGUAAGUUAGUUUAUAUUGAUUUCUUUAGUGAUUUAAUAACUGUAAAUAAGAAAGAGUAAAUUAUAGUAAUAUUUACUAAGAUUCAAUGAAGUUACACCAAUGUUUCCUUUUUUUAAUAUGUUAUACUUUAAUUUAUAAUAAUCCUGUCCAUUACUAUAAAAAUUUUAAAAAUUACAUAUUUUUCAAAUUAUGCACUAAUAACACGCAUAUAUGGUCAAACAGAAUAAACUAAAGCAAAAAAUUCUCAUUUAAAAUAGCGGCUUUUAUCAUAACGGUCGUUCUAUAUCUUUGAAGAUGGUAUAAAAUGAUGAGUUUUUAGCAUAACUGCCAUUUUAUAUCUUUCAGGAGGAUUUAAAACAACGAUUUUUUAGCAUAAUUGUCGUUUUAUAUCUUUAAAAAAUGCCUAAAAUGAAGACUUUUACCAUAAUCGUUAUUUUAGACUGAAUAUAACACGACGAUUAUAUAACCGUUGUCUUUACUUAAAGAGAAUGGACUUCAUGCUGAAAGACAGCGGUAUAAGAAUCGCUCAUUCAUGCUGAAAGACAGCGGUAUAAGAAUUGCUCAUUUAGUGCUGAAAUGACCGUUGUCAUUUAGCUUUUUUGCACCAAUAAUUAUAAAGUUUAUUUUUAGAGUGGUGGUGAUAAACAUAUAUCGAUGUGAGAAUAAGUUAGUUUAUAUUGAUUUGUAUAGUGAUUUAAUAACUGUAAAAGUCGAAUAAGAAAGAGUAAAUUAAAGUAAUAUUUUCUUAUGUUUAAUGUAAUUUAAACCAAUGUUUUUUUUUUCUAUGUUAUACUUUAACUUAUACUAAUCCUUUCCAUUAUUAUAAACUUUUUAAAAAUUACAUAUUUUUUAUUUUUCAAAUUAUGCACUAACAAUACGAAUAUGCAUGGUCAAUAAUACGCAGUGUAAAUUGUGUAAAUAUAUGAGCUCCCAUUUUAUUUAUUUAUUUUAGUUUGUGUGACAAAUGAACAUUAUUAGUAGCAAAGAAGAGUGAAGAGUGACUAUAAGUAGCGUUACCAUGAGACUAUGUUACUAUAUGAGACUAUGAGGUAAUAUGGCCUGAAAAAUGUUGAAGGAACUUGUCAAAGACUCAUAGACAAAGUCUUCAAGGGGAUUGGCCGGAACAUAAGGGAAAUGGUCGGAACGAUUUACGUGGACGACAAACUCAUGUGCCCAACACAUAAAGAUUUGAAAGAACUCUUUGAAGCUAUUAGGCUAUGAUGUUCAGACACUUCUCUUAAAUGAUGUGUCGGUGGUAGAUACUCAUAUCGGACACCGACAUUCGUAUGACACUUGUAGGACACGUAUUCGUGAAAUGUCCAAUUCAAAAAGUAUUUGUUGGAUUUUUGACAAUUUUAAUACAAUUCUAACAGAAUUUUAAAAAGGAAAAAUACAUUAAUUUUCUAAAAACUCAAACUUAUUGUAUAAAUUUUUAUUAUGAUUAUAAAAAUAAGAAACAAAUCAUUUUGAAGUAGUCAUGAAAAACAUUUUUUUCUCUUUUCUCCAAAAAACAAUCUGUAACAUACUUGUGUACAUAAAUCUUUAUUAUCAAUUUAUAUAAUUUAUAAUUAUAUAAUAUAUAGAUUCGUGUUUUCAUAUCCUACAUUUUAAAUAUUUAUUUUAAAUAUUUUCCGUAUCUUUACGUUUGUGUCCUUGUUUUAUCGGUGUCCGUGUUAUACAGCUCUUAAGUGAAUGAACAUGCGGCUAAAUCCUGAAAAGUUUGCGUUCAGGAAUAUAAGUUAUUGGGUUUAGGGUUUAAUCUCGAGAAAUGUAGGGCGAUAGAGAUAACAAGAUGAUCAAAAAUACAAAAAAAAGAAGAAGAGUAAAAUAGAGUAAACUCCAUUAUGUUAUUAUUUUGGAAAACUUUUCUUCAACAGUCCAAAGUUUGGAGUAAAAAACAAGCAUUUGACAGCUCCUUUUAAUAAUAUAAUAAUAUAUGAGCUCCCAUUUUAUUUUCUGUGACAGAGAAACAUUAUUAGCAGGAAAGAACACUGAGUGAAAGCAGUGUUUUAGUGUCACAGGGAAGGUGGAGUUUGGAGUCUAGAGGAUUUGGUUGAGGACCAAGUUGGCGAGAUUCAAAGCUUCAGAUGUGGUGCCAUCGGAGAGCUUGGAAGCAAAAGACCAAGAGAGGACGUCGUUCGUUUCAACGUUCCCUUUAGUAAUCCCAGUGGUGGCAGAGAACCCAACGCUCACCCACUCGGGAAGAACGCUCUUCAGGUCCACUGUGUCAGAGACGGUGAAGCUUGUUUUCAGAGAAGGGUAAACCAGAGAAGCCACCAAGAGCUUCGUGGAGGACUCAUAGGUGAUAUGAACCUCGGCGUUUUCUCCGUUGACAAAAUCCCACCGCGUCGUUUUGAUAGACUUGAUGGAGUUCACGUCGAUGCCAAUAUGACGCUCUCUGGGGUCCCAGUCCUUGUUGUAGAGGGUGUCGAACUCCACAGCCACAGUAUGGAAAUUGCUGUUGCUGCCGUCGAAAAGACCUAGAAAACCGCCUUUGUCUUUGGGCUGAGAGCCCACGGGGACGAGAGCAAAGGCAAGGCCAUCGGCGGGUCCUGCAUUGUUGGGAACCUGUAUAUUGAAUGUGAAGUUGGUGUCGAAGCUGGCGACGUUGCCGGUGGUGUAGUCCCAGAUUUGGAUGGGGGCGGAGUAGAAGGCGCGGCCCAGAGAGCCCACCGUGGGUUCUCCGUUGCUGUUAACAUUGGUUAGUCGUAACUGGCCGGAGGAUGAGACGGAGGCAUCGCCUUGAAGGAUAAGGUUGGUUUCGUUGAACCUAUCGAAGCUGAAGAAGGUUUGGCUGGCUGAGUUUGCGUGGGUGAGAAGCACAAGGAAGAGGGCUAGGGAGAGUAAGUUGGAGGAAGCCAUGUAUGCAUUCAUGCAUUAACCAUCACUCUCUUCUCUAUUUAUACAACAACAACUGCACUCUCUCUCUCUACUUUAUGGAUUCAACAAAUGCAAAAUCUUUCCAACUUUUUUAUUUCAUUCUAUUAUUAAAUACGUGUUUUCGAAUGAUUAACUUUUUUCUUUUAUAAUAUUAUUUGAGAGAGAAAUAAGAAUAUUAAAAUAAGAAUUAAGCAACGAUGGCAAUGCAUCCACGUCAUCCAAACAUUGAAAUAAUAUGAAAUAAUUACUUUAAAUUUAAAGAGAUAUUUAUGGAGAGAAGCGGUUGGCACGUAGUAGUGGGAUGUGAGACGUGUCAUAGUGUGAAAGCCACAGUGGAAAGUGACAGGAGACAUGGGUGAAGAGGAGGUAGAAAAAAUAUGAAAUAAGAAAGAGUAAAUUGUACUAAUAUUUCCAAAGGUUUAAUGUAAUUACACAAAUUUUUCCUUUUUUUUUUCUUUUUUUUCUAUGCUAUACUUUAACUUAAUAUAAUACAAAACUCUAAAAGAUAUAAUAUCUUGAAUGUACGUGAUGAUUAACUUUAGUAAAAAUCAAAAUAUUACCGUUACAAUUAAAGAUAAAAAAAGUGGUUUCAACCGGCCAGAGUUUAUUCUGGUACUUCCAAUAAUCUUAUAUGGUUAAAAAGUUGAAAUAAAAAAUAAUUUAAAUACACAUUUUUUUAUUAUUAUUUUUAUUUUUUAGUACGUCAAAAAUAAAAUAAAUAAAAUAUUUUAAAAAUUGAUAUAAGAAGGUGUUAUUAUUAUGGUAUCCUAUGUGUGUGAUUAUGUAAUAAGAUAGAAAGAGGUGGAAUUGGAAGAAGGAUGACCAUUGAAAAAAAGAUAAGAUAAGGUUUGUUUGAUGAGUGGGCAGAAUGUUGUGUUGGUGUGAAGCAGUUUGGCAGUAGCAAUGCAGGAGGAAGGACAAUCCAACGCACCAAACUGUACCACCUUCAUGAAAACUAUGCACACAAUCAAUUUCAACUAUUUUGUGGAUAUCAUUUUUCAAUUACAAUUGAAAAAAUUUGAUAGUUUUUUUUAUCAGUAAUAAAUAAAUUAAAUAAAAUAUUUUAUGAGUGUUUCAAUUCUUAUAAAAAAAUAUAUAUAAAGUUUUUUAACACUCAACCAACUGGAAAUCCAACCGAUACUGCAACAUAUCAACUAAAUUGACAUAGACAAGAAUGAAGAAAUGAAUAUUGUUGGGAAAAACGGGUAAUUUUCCCACUAAAACAAAACCCUAACAGAGCUACCCGACAAAUAAUAUUGAAUAAAUAAAGCGGAAUAAUAAAAGAGAUAAAGAGAAAAAAGACACCCGAAUAUUGUUAACGGAGUUAGCCUAAUCUCCGAGCACAGCUGAAAUAACUUGCUUUUAUUAUUAUGUGAGAAAAUAUUACAAAUUGAGAUAUCUAACAGAAGGAGGAGAGUUUAAUUUAUAACCCUCAAAACUCCUUCCCAAACAAUGAACCCAUCGAUGUGGGACUUGGGAUUAAGCCAAAAUCAACAAAUCUCCACCUUGGCUUAAUUUCAAGUCCCACCUAAAACAAAUCUUCUAAAAAACAUAACAAAAACAAACUUUGCAGUGUUUCAAAUUUGCGCCUCCGGGCGCCAACUUCAAAUGUGCAAGAUAUUAACCAAGUUUAAAUAGUGUUCAAACUUGGUCCUUGUAACCACCUUGGUGAGCAUAUCUGCAAGAUUCUCCAUAGUGUGAAUCUUCUGGAGAACAAUCUCCUCUUCUUCGAGAAUAUCACGCACAAAGUGAUAACGAACAUCAAUGUGCUUUGUCCGUGCAUGAAAGACUUGAUUCUUUGCUAAAUGAAUAACACUCUAACUGUCAGAAUAUAACUCAAGUUGUUUCUUACCAACUCCCAAGUCUUUAAGCAACCCAUGAAGCCAAAUUGCUUCCUUCACAGCCUUUGUAAUCGCCAUAUACUCUGCCUCUGUCGUAGACAAAACUACCGUAGACUGCAAGGUAGACUUCCAACUAACUGACACUUUUGCUAAAGUGAACAAAUAGCCAGUUGUAGACCGUCGCUUAUCCAAAUCACUUGCAUAAUCAGAAUCACAAUAUCCAACUAUGCAUUGACCAAGUGAUUCAUCUUGCUCAAAUGUCAAUCCAACAUCUAAGGUAUUUUGGAGGUACCGUAGAAUCCAUCUCACAGCUUGCCAAUGACCCUUGCCCAGAUUAUGCAUGUACCUGCUAACAACACUCACAGCCUAUGAAAUAUCUGGUCUUGUACACACCAUUGCAUACAUCAAGCUUCCAACUGCAUUUGCAUAUGGGACUUUCGCCAUGUAUUCUCGUUCUUCACCAGUCGUUGGAGAUAAACGGCUACUCAAUUUCAGAUGAGGAGCAAGUGGGGUACUUACAGGUUUUGUAUCUUCGUGUAUACCAAAACGUUGUAGUACCUUCNNNNNNNNNNNNNNNNNNNNNNNNNNNNNNNNNNNNNNNNNNNNNNNNNNNNNNNNNNNNNNNNNNNNNNNNNNNNNNNNNNNNNNNNNNNNNNNNNNNNNNNNNNNNNNNNNNNNNNNNNNNNNNNNNNNNNNNNNNNNNNNNNNNNNNNNNNNNNNNNNNNNNNNNNNNNNNNNNNNNNNNNNNNNNNNNNNNNNNNNNNNNNNNNNNNNNNNNNNNNNNNNNNNNNNNNNNNNNNNNNNNNNNNNNNNNNNNNNNNNNNNNNNNNNNNNNNNNNNNNNNNNNNNNNNNNNNNNNNNNNNNNNNNNNNNNNNNNNNNNNNNNNNNNNNNNNNNNNNNNNNNNNNNNNNNNNNNNNNNNNNNNNNNNNNNNNNNNNNNNNNNNNNNNNNNNNNNNNNNNNNNNNNNNNNNNNNNNNNNNNNNNNNNNNNNNNNNNNNNNNNNNNNNNNNNNNNNNNNNNNNNNNNNNNNNNNNNNNNNNNNNNNNNNNNNNNNNNNNNNNNNNNNNNNNNNNNNNNNNNNNNNNNNNNNNNNNNNNNNNNNNNNNNNNNNNNNNNNNNNNNNNNNNNNNNNNNNNNNNNNNNNNNNNNNNNNNNNNNNNNNNNNNNNNNNNNNNNNNNNNNNNNNNNNNNNNNNNNNNNNNNNNNNNNNNNNNNNNNNNNNNNNNNNNNNNNNNNNNNNNNNNNNNNNNNNNNNNNNNNNNNNNNNNNNNNNNNNNNNNNNNNNNNNNNNNNNNNNNNNNNNNNNNNNNNNNNNNNNNNNNNNNNNNNNNNNNNNNNNNNNNNNNNNNNNNNNNNNNNNNNNNNNNAUAUCCAUGAAAUGAGCAGGCUUCUGAAUAUCUCGUCUCUGUCUUCUAACUGCAAUUGGCUCUGAUUGUUGUUGAGAUUCUUGGGUAGGAACCUCUUCCUCAUCUGACUCUUCUUCUGCCAUAGGAGAGUCACUUGUGGUAUUUCGUGUUGGGAUCACCACUGUCGGCUCAAACUCCACCUGUUGCGGAGUACUAUCAGCUCCUUCUGGAUUUACUUUCUUUAACAUGGCAGAUUCAUCAAAGGUAACAUCCCUGCUGAUAAUCGUCUUCUUUGCCUCUAGACACCACAAACGGUAUCCCUUCACUCCAGGACUAAAGCCCAUGAAAAGAGCUUUCAUUGCCCGUGGAUCCAACUUUGAUUCAAUCACAUGAUAAUAUGCAAUAGAACCAAAAACAUGCAAAGAAUCAUAAUUAGUUGCAGGUUUUCCAAACCAUACCUCUAGCGAGGUUUUGCCAUCUAUAGCAGAAGAUGGCAAACGAUUGAUGAGAUGUUGAGCGUAUGUCACAGCCUCAACCCAAAACUCUUUGUCUAACUCAGCAUUAGACAACAUACAACGAACUUUCUCCACAAGUGUCUUGUUCAUACGCUCCGACACCCCAUUAUGUUGUGGUGUUUUUCUAACAGUGAAGUGUCGAACUAUGCCACAAUCUUGACAUACCUUCAAGAACGGAUCACUCUUGUAUUCUCCUCCAUUGUCUGUUCGGAGAACCUUAAUCUUCCUUCCUGUCUGGUUUUCAACUUGAGCUUUCCACUUAAGGAAAAUUUCAAGCACAUCAUUUUUGUUCUUCAUAGUAAACACCCAAACUCUCAUGGAAAAAUCAUCCACAAAAGUGACNNNNNNNNNNNNNNNNNNNNNNNNNNNNNNNNNNNNNNNNNNNNNNNNNNNNNNNNNNNNNNNNNNNNNNNNNNNNNNNNNNNNNNNNNNNNNNNNNNNNNNNNNNNNNNNNNNNNNNNNNNNNNNNNNNNNNNNNNNNNNNNNNNNNNNNNNNNNNNNNNNNNNNNNNNNNNNNNNNNNNNNNNNNNNNNNNNNNNNNNNNNNNNNNNNNNNNNNNNNNNNNNNNNNNNNNNNNNNNNNNNNNNNNNNNNNNNNNNNNNNNNNNNNNNNNNNNNNNNNNNNNNNNNNNNNNNNNNNNNNNNNNNNNNNNNNNNNNNNNNNNNNNNNNNNNNNNNNNNNNNNNNNNNNNNNNNNNNNNNNNNNNNNNNNNNNNNNNNNNNNNNNNNNNNNNNNNNNNNNNNNNNNNNNNNNNNNNNNNNNNNNNNNNNNNNNNNNNNNNNNNNNNNNNNNNNNNNNNNNNNNNNNNNNNNNNNNNNNNNNNNNNNNNNNNNNNNNNNNNNNNNNNNNNNNNNNNNNNNNNNNNNNNNNNNNNNNNNNNNNNNNNNNNNNNNNNNNNNNNNNNNNNNNNNCAUCGAGUUCUUGAAAUUCAAAGAACCAUUCCUGAAUGGGACACAUAUGAUAGGUACAACCUGAAUCCAAUAUCCACUCAUCUGGAUACGAUGAUGCUGAAAGCGAGACAAUUAAAGAGAUAUCUGAUUCCACACCAUUUUUGCAUUCUGCAACAUUUGCAUCUUGUGGAGCCUUCCCUUUCUUCUGCAGUUUUGGAUAGUCUUUCUUCCAAUGUCCUUUCUCAUGACAGAAAGCACACUCAUCUUUGGCAACGGCUCGACCUUUAGACUUAGACCUCCCUCUUCUCCCCUUUGUUUGGCUUUGCUGACGACCUCUUGCCACCAAUGCUUCUUCUGAUGUCGUUGAUUUGGUUUUCAUCUUAUCCUGCUUUCUCAAUUCAUGACUAUAUAAAGAAGAACAAACAACAUCUAACGACACAUUCUCCUUCCCGUGAAGGAGUGUAGUCUCAAAAUGUUCAAAUUCAUCAGGAAGAUAUGAUAACAACAUCAAAGUCAAAUCUUCAUCGUCAAACUUCACAUCUAAAUUCAACAGGUCUGCUACUAAUUGAUUAAACAUAGUGAUGUGCAUUCAUAGUAGUACCUUGUUGGUAGUCAAAUUGGAACAACCUUUUCUUCAUCAGGAGCUUGUUUUGACCACUCUUCUUCAGAAACUUGUUCCUUCCACAGUUUGUGUGCAGAAGUCUCGUUUUUUACAGCAUACUUCUGCUCUUUGGACAGGUAGGAUCGAAUAGUUCUGCAUGCCAACUGGUUGAUGAUGCUCUAGUCUUUCUCCUCUACCUCUUCUGGUUUCUCUCAUUCAAUAACAAUAUCAUUUCCCUGUUGAAAAAGAGAGUCCAAGACCUCUCCUUGCCACAUGCCAAAAUGUCCAGUGCCAUCAAAUAUUUCCACCGCCAAUUUCAAAGUGGACACCGGGAACCUCGACCAUGAUGACGAGGAGCCCGACACUCUGGAUACACCAUUCACUUCUUCUUCUUGAUUUGCCAUUACAAACUCAAAAUAUAAUAUUCAAUAUUACAAAUAAUUUCAAACAACCCAAGGCGAACCUUCGGCUCUUGAUACCACUUGUUGGGAAAAACGGGUAAUUUUCCCACUAAAACAAAACCCUAACAGAGCUACCCGACAAAUAAUAUUGAAUGAAUAAAGCGGAAUAAUAAAAGAGAUAAAGAGGAAAAAACACACCCAGAAAUUGUUAACGGAGUUCGGCCUGUUUAGCCUAAUCUCCGAGCACAACUGAAAUAACCCGCUUUUAUUAUUAUGGGAGAAGAUAUUACAAAUUGGGAUAUCUAACAGAAGGAGGAGAGUUUAAUUUAUAACCCUCAAAACUCCUUCCCAAAAUAUGAACCCACCGAUGUGGAACUUGUGAUUAAGCCAAAAUCAACAAAUACAACAGAAUACGAUUACUUUAAUCCUUAAAAAAAAUCACAUUCUCAUAAAAAGAUAAAAUAUUCUAACAAUUAAACAAAAUAUCAUUUUUAUUAUAUCACUCAUACUUUAAAAAUGGUUUCCUAAGUAAUUUAUAGGUCUUACAUUAAGGAAUUUAUAAUUACUUACACGUUAAUGAGUCAAUAAUUAAGUUAAACUUAUGUAAUGUCUAGGUGUUUGAUUUAAUUUAUUCUAUUAAUAUUUUUGUAUUUUUUUUUCUUUUGAUCCUAAUUUGAAAGUCGUAGAAAAACAAUACAUACAAUAUUUUCAUAUUUUUACUUAUGAAUUAUAAAUAAAAGAAACAUACUUUUUUUAUUCUGAUGUUUUCUUUACAGAACUUUUUAGACCAAUUAAGAAAAGAGUGUGUAUGUGAAAAGAUGAUUUAUGAAUUUUGAUAGACACUUGAUGGUUAUGUGAAAUGUUUGAGAAAUUGUAUGAGAGUUUAUGAAUUUUGUGUAUCAAUUUGAAAUUUAAAUUAUAUAGACCAUUUUGUUAUAACUAGCUUACCCUGUUAUUUGUUUGUGUUUGUUUCUUUAUCUGUGAUGAUCGUGUUGUACACGGGAGCAUAUGAGAUUGCAAGUAAUAGAGCUCCUAAAUGAACAGCCGGAGGAUGUGAUAGUUUUAAUUUGAAUGCUCUCUUUGUUUUUAUAAAUUUUUUUAUGUAUAUAUUAAAAUCCCUACGAAAAGAGAUAAUUUUUUUAGAUACAAUUAUGAGAUAUUUAUAUAUAUUCAUAUGUUAAGUAGAUAGUGUUUGUUUUACUUUUAUUUUAUUAUAUAUGAAUAAAAAUUAUGAAUGUUACAUCUAACAUAUGAUUUACCGAAAUAAACUGAAGUUAAUUAAAUUAAAUUAGUUUCCCGUAUAUUUUGCUUUUCAAGCAAAAUACUAAGAAGAAAAUGAUGUCUUAACUUAUUUUCUGAAAACCUAAUUCAAAAAUUAAACACAUAAACCUAAACUAAGAGAUAUUCAUAUUUUCUGAUCGGAUUAUAGUUUCGAUAGAAAAAUCCAAUAUAUGCUAACAAAACAAAACACAAGGAGUUUGAGAUCUAAAAAAACCUUAUACUCAAAUCAAAAUUGGAUGAGUUCAAAUUCAUUAAAACUUUAUUAUCUUCUUCGUCUCGCACUUUAAAAGAAGAAUAAAAAAAGAAAAAUCACCUAUAAAAUAUAUAUAUAUAUAUAUAUAUAUAUAUAAUUCGAGUCUAAUCAACUAUGAUAUUAUUUGAGGGAGUAAUAAGAAUAAAAAAAAUAACAAUUAAACAACGAUGACAAUGCAUCCACGUUGAGACAAAGGUGUCAUAGCCACCACCACAGUACAGAGAUAUAGCAAGUUGAGACAAAGGUACUGAUAGAAUUUAGGUGAGAGAUGUCUUUUCAUUUGAGGAAGACAACACCAGGAACAUGUUUUUCCCUUAACACAGAAAUUCACAUUUAGUUUGAAUUUUAGUUGUUAUCAAAAGAUAUUUACAAAGGAUUAUUCAACACUUAAAUAAAAAUUCAAUAUUUAAAUAUAAUAAUAAUGUAAAAAUGUCUAUUUAUAAUACAUGAUUAAUCAUUUCAUUUCAAAUUUUGAUUAAAACAUGUAUCAUAAUAUAUUAUUUAAUUUCUAUAUGAUUUAAGUAUCAUUAAUAUACAUUUUAACUAAUAUAUAUCUUUAAUACGUCAUUAAAUUAUAGUGUGGAAAUGGGUUUAUUCGAAUGUGAUAUGGUAGAAGAGAAAAGAAGUUUUCAUCUAUCAAACUUUUCUGAUUCCACGAGAACAACCUUCUCAGCUGCUGCUUGGGUAAAGGGGCAACGUGCUUUUCUACAAUUACUUUAAGCUAUUUACAAUUCAAUAUAUAAUCUAACCAAUUUUUAAGAAAAUGGGGGCAAUAUUCUUACUUUUUAUAAAACAUUAUGAUAUUUUUUAAAAGUAUUUCGAAUACGAAGAAAUCAUAUUAAUAUAUACGAUUGAUAUAGUACUUUUUUAUUCAAAGUGAUUUGUGGGAUUUGAAUCAUCAGAAUUAAAUAUGAUUAGAAAAUGAAAAGAAAAGAUUCAAAUUAAAAGGAACCAGAUACUGAUUUAUAAUAUAUAACACUCUAAAACUAAAAAUCACUUUUUCUAGUCUAGUUGUAUAUUAUGGUAAGGAAACAUCUCUCUUUCCUAUAACACAAUUGAAAAAAUUUCAUAGCAUUUCAUUAAAUGUUAUAAAAAGUAGUACCUAAAUUGUAUAAGAGAAGAACACACACAACACUGAAUUAAAAAUUUGUGACUCUUGAAAGAAACCAUUUCCACGUAUGCAAAAACAACGAAUGAAGUGUGUAAUAGUUUUUCUUACUUUUCUAGUCAAAGUAGCAUAGUUUAAAUCUUUUUUGUAAAUGUGAUGAGACAUGCAAAGUGGUACUUAAAAGGCUAAACCUAAGUUUAAUUAGAAAUUUCCAUUUCUAAUUAAACUUAGGACCGGCCCAAUUUGACCCUAGAUGAGCGUAAGUUCUAGAUGAAUUAGCACAUGGAAGCAUUCUAGAAUCUUACCUCACAUGGGCUGAAAAUAGGCGCCACUUUUCACAUGUGCCAACACUUUGAAUUUGGCUCUCAUUUCAUUUGUAUUUGGCUCUUCAAAUUCCAGCCCUCCAAGCCUAUAUAAGGAGGUGCUUGGUUCAUGUUUUCACAAGAUUAUUUUGAGUAAUGAAAUGUUGCCAAAUUGUGUUAUUCUUACUCCCUUGCCUACAAUCUCUUAGAAUUUAGGUCUUAAUCUUCCAAAACUGCACCUCAAAGAGAGUUGGCCGAACCUCUCUCACUUUCACACUCUUCAUGCACCUCUAAGGCUUACACAACUCCUAGGAGAGCCUUAUUUCACCUCAAUCCAUGAAUGCUUCCGCCAAAACCACCACAAAAACCGCAAGAUGAAGAGCUCAAAGCCAUCAUUUGGUAUCUAGAGCUAUGGUCUUCAAGAGAUAAGUGUCUCUUUUCAUUUUUCUGUUUGAGUUCUUCUUAUUUUCAUGUUGUUCAUCUCUUGUUCAUGUUGUCUUGCUGUUUUUACAUUUUUAAUUUGAUUUAGAUGUUGUUCUAAGCAUUUCAAUCGGUAGAAAUUGUUCAAAUUGUUCUUGAGCACCUUAUUUUCAAUUUUUGUGUAGGAAUCUAUGGUGAAUUGUGUUGCUGUUUUGAUUUUAGGUUACUUGAGUCUUGUUUGAAUUUUUGUUCGGUGCAUUAUGAUGUUCUUGAGUCAUUUUAUUUUCUGAAUCUAUAUGUUUUGCCUAGUCAUGUAAUUCCUAGAAUGUCAACAAACCUUAGUAGUACUUUUCUUGAUUCAUUUGUUUCUUGUUUUGAUUUGAGUGUUUAAUUUGAAUUCUGACUUGAUUUGUUCCUUUGGUGCAUUUUUCCUUUUAGUUUGAGUUCAUAUUGUAUGAUAGAUCCAUACAAAUUCAUAUAACUUUCACUCCAUUGUGUUUUUGAAGUUUCUCUUUCUAUUUUUAAUUCCAGAAAUAGGAUUCCUCUGUUUUUACAAAUACUAUACUGGCUAUUUUGUGUUAUGAAAAUUAAAUACGUUAAAAGAAAAUUCUGAGAUUCUAGAUUUCAGUGGUUUGAUGUGUUAGAAAAAGAAGAAAAAAAGAAUCAGUCGAAAAGACAAAAUAGAAAAAAAAAAGAUAAAUCACACAAAAAAAUGUUCAUUCUGGCGCUAAAAUUGACUGUAAUUGGACAGUGAUUUUGAAAAAUUUAUCACAAUUAAUUGGUGCAUGUUUUUGGUGUGAUUCCAGCGCCAAAAGUUUGCUAAGAGAUUGAAUCGUUUUUGGUUAAAUUUUCAGAAGCAAAUUCAAAAUAGCCAACUCAACAUAAAUAUUUUAAGUCAUGCUUUAUGAACCUUAAUUUUCCAGUAGUGUUGUUUUGGUUUUUCAAAUCAAUUCUAGUGCCCAUCUUUAGGUUCCUUUUGUGUGUCAACCUUUGUUAAGUGCCUAUUUUUUUUAUUUGCUUGUCCAAUAUCAUUAUGAACUCCUUCUAAGUUGUGUCAUAUCAUUAAUUCCUGUUUUUGUGGUACUUUUCAAAUUUAAUUUGUUUCUUGCUUUAUUUUCUUGACCUCUAAAAUUGUUGGUGGAAGAAUUUCAAUUGGUGCUUGCUAAGUGGAAAUUGACUUUGUGGUAAGUCUAGCUCUACUUAGUAGGUACUGUUUUGAAGAAUUUAAUUGCUUAAAUCAUAAGAGGUUAAGGCAAGGAGCAACAACAUACACAAAUACCAAAAACCAUACACUUUGAAGAGCACAACAAAGAAGAGCAAGAACAAGCCAAAGGAGUGCAUAGCUUAGAAAGCUGAAAUUAAAUUUGUGCAAUUCAAUUCCUUUUCAUUUCUUAAGUUGUAAUUACAUUUCACUUUUGCUAAUUAGUGGUUAGACGGUGAGUGUGUCUUCAAAUGCUCAAAGUGUCUAAGAAGCCUCACUUAGGAAGCGACUAGUUUAAAGCUUUGUAGAUUAACAAUUUCUAAUUGUGUUAGCUAGAUUGUUUUACGUUAAUCCUUGUUUAGCUUUGCUUAAAAUUGCUUACGUUUAUCUUUUGUUUAAGCUUUGAUUAAUUGCUUUAUUUGUUAAAUAGCUUUGCAUUGUUUUUCCUUGCAUAAAAUUUGAUUUUUCAUUCCUCAUUAUGUUCUAAGUAAUUUACUUAGAAAAAGAAUUGUGUGAAGUUUUUUAGGGAUAGUUUUUGACUAAGGCAAGACUUGGUACUUAAGAAGUCCUUAGUGACUCACCUCUCUUACCUGGAAAGCUACCUUCACUAACUUUCCUCUUCUUUCUUGAAGUAAAACACUUUUAAACACAAAGUUUUAGUCAUGUCUUCUCACUCCUCUAAAUCUAAUGAAAGUGAUAUGAAGUCCAUUAAAUCUCUUUUAAAACAACUUGCCAAGGACUUUCAAUUACUUUCAUAUAGACAAUUGGAGAAUGAUGCCAAAAUUAAUUAAUUGACUAAAGCAAAGGAUGAGAAUUCUCAAAAAUAAAAAUAAAAAAUACAUUCUCAUGCAUCUAGUUCCAAAGAUCAUGAUUCUCUUGGGGAGGGAAACCUUAGGAUUAAUGAGUUAUCAACCACCUCCUAGGAGAAAUAGAAGAAGAGAACAAGAUAGCCCAAGAGAGGUUAGGGUAGACCUACUCCAUUUUCAUGGAAAAGAAGAUGUAGAAGUAUACCUAGAUUGGGAAGAUCUUUCUCCAGCUCCACUUUGGCAGAGAAGCACAAGGAAGAGGUCUAGGGAGAGUAACUUGAAGGAAGCCAUGAUCAUGCAUUCAUGCAUUAACCAUCACUCUCUUCUCUAUUUAUACAACAACAAAUUCAAAAUCUUUCCAACUUUUUUCUUUCAUUUUAUUAUUCAACACCAAAUUAACAAUUAUUAAACAACGAUGCCAAUGCAUCCACGUCAUCAAAAAAGUAUAUGAAAUAAUUAGUUUAAAUUUAAAUACAUAUUUAUGGAGAGAAGCGGUUUGGCAGGUAGCAAUGGGAAGUGAGAGGAGGUGCUGAGGUGGCCGUGUGCAUGGCCAGUAGUGUCAUAAUGAGAAGAGGUGGGAGCUGAGGUGGCAGCAUGCAUGGCCCAGUGAUGUCAUGUGGGGAAUCAAAAAUUCUAAUUUCAUUUUCCCUUUUUUAUUUAAUGGUAUAUAUUAUAAAAUUUUAUAUUCACCGUAUUAUUCUUAUUUUUUUACUUUGUUGUAAACUACGAUGACUAUAUUAUACUACGUACAUGAGUAAAUGAUCACACAGGUAUGAGAGGAUCUUGAGAAUUUUAAAAUGUUUUCUUAAAAUUAAUAUUUUUUAAAUAUUUGUAUUUCUGUAAGUUUUAAUUAUGUAUUAGGAAUAUUUUUAAAAAUUUUAAGUUUUUACAAAAAUAUGUAUAACAUGUAUUAUUAUAAUUAGAUUUAUUUUUGUGUGUUAUAUUUAAUGUUAUCAAAGCAUUUCAUCUUUAUGAUAAUCUGACGGUAGUGAGUUUAUUGUGUUCUUCGUGUGUCUAAAUUUUUUGUUUAAUUCUAACUUCAAGACCUUGUUAAAAGUUUCUAAUAAUAUGUUUAAUAAAAUUGUUUUCUUGAAAUCUUGUUUGAGUGGUGAGGAUACACACUAAUGACUAUAGAAAACCUAAUUAGAAUUAUUAUAUUAAAAGUUUAAGUCUCUUAUAUUAUUAUUACAAUUACAACUAAAACUUAAUUAAUUCCGAAAAGAUCAGAAACAAGAAACAAAGAGAUAAGGACAUUUUUUUUAAUCUUUUUUCUUCCUUACCUUCCUUAAUCUCAAAUGAAACAUAAAUUUGUUUUGUUAACUGUUGUCCUCUUUUUCUGGUGAUGAGGAAAUAACACAUUUUCUAUUGAAGGAUCCUAAUUUCUCUUACAAUGAAUUUCUUUAUUUAAUAAGAAAAAAAUAUGAAAAGGUUUUUUUCUGUGUGUUUAUCAGGGACAUUGAAGCAUUUACUGGUAUAAAUUUGCAUCUUUUUAAAAUUGUUGAUUAUAUUAAUGGUGCCAUGAAUGAAAUUCACUUUGAGGGAUAUCAUGAGAGAUGAAGUGUAAAUCUGAAUAAUAGUCUAAAGUUGUGUUUUAUUAGUCAAGGAGACAAGCUGAAUUAAUUUAACUGAACCAUAAAAAUAAGUCAAUAUGAUUAGGACUAAUCAAAAUUUCAAUUCAAUGCUUUGAUAAAACGAAUAUCAAAGUUCAUUUAUGUUAUGAUUGAAUUUAAUUAUGACUUUGAACAAAAAUAAAAGUUUGUAUACAAGGUAUUGGUUUGAAUGAUGAAUUUGAAAGAGAAUUUAUUCACAAUUCAACAAAUCAAAGUGGAGUUUCAAAAGAAAGUUAAUUGGAAAAAAAGUUUAAAGUGAAGAAGUGUGAUUGAACGUAACAAGUAAAACUCUAUGAAUGUAAAACGAUCAAAAGUGAAUGCUUAAAGUAAAAGAAAGGAUUCAAAUCGAUAAAAGAAAUAUUGUAAACGUUCGAUGUUGUAAGCAACUGCUUUUUGAAAAGCAAUUCCAAAUUGGAAAAGAUUUAUUUUACAUCAUAAAGUAAAAACAUAACACUAAAUUAUAAUAUUUAAAAUUAAAAAAUAAAUUAAAUAUGAUUAAAAUAUUAUUUUAUUAGUUUGUGAAGUAUAUGUUUUUUUUACUAUUUGUGGUAUUAACAUAUCACCGCCCUUUUAAAUUCAAAAAUAGAAAAAUCAUUUAAAAGUUUCCAUCAUUUUAAAUAAAAUAAAAUAAGAUUCACUAAAAAAAAACCUGAGAAAAGAAAGGUAGUAUAACCAUAUUUGUAUUACAACUAAUUUUGUUGUUCUGCUAGAUGAACGAAAUAAAUUACCCAGUUGAUGAUUAAGGAAAAAAAUUUAUGAUCAAUUUAAGAUAUUAUUCAUUUUCAUUUUGAAGUUUUUAAAUUUCAUUACAACUUUAUCUUAAAAAACAUAUCGAUAAAUUAAAGAAAGAAUAUUUAAAAUGAAUUUCAACUAGACUUCUAAACAAUGAACUUUUUUAUAAAAAUAUACAAAACCAAAGUCUAAAACAAUGAUGAUCCAUAAAGGCAUACAUUUUAUGAAAAUAAUAUAAAUUUAAAUAUUAAAUUAUGAAUUUUAUGAUGUCGUCCUGCAAAACAUUGUAGCUUUAUAAAUAUUAGUAAACUGUAUAAUAUUAUUACACUGUAUUAAAGUCUUCAAAGUAUAUAAUUAAAUAAAUACUUCUAAAAUGAAAGUCCAUUUACUUUAAAUCAUACCAAUAAACACACAUAAAAACAUGCAAAUAUACUAAUAAAAAUUAUCUUCAUGCAAAUAACAAGAUUAUGUAUAUAAAUGUAAAUUAACUUAUUUAGUCACACAAUUAUGUCAUGACUAAAUGAAAAGUCAUUUGGAAGACUCUAAAAUAUAAUAAACAAAUCUUACUAGAAACUAAUAUUUGGCAUACAUUAGAAUAAGGUUAAAGUUUUUAAUGUUAGAGUGACAUAAAACAUCUACUAUCAAACUAUAUAUGUAUAUCUACUAUGAAGUUUGAUUUAAAUCUCAUUUAAAUUUUCACAAUCUGUCUAUGUGAUUGAAUAACAAUAAAGUCAUGAUACUUCUUGUUUAUGACCAUCACCCAAGGUAUGAUACCACCCUGAGUAUCCCUACACCGCCCUUUAAGGGUCAUGCACCAACCUAGGAAGUGUCACCAUAUCUAGAGUCAAAUUUUAUAUACAUAUAUACCACUUUAUAUACAUACAAACACAAACAAACAAACAAACACGAAGGAUCAAUAAAAAAUGGUAUACAUCAUACAUACAUUAUAUCAUUCAUCUCGACACCAAUUAUAUAUUUAUCCAGAGCAUAUAAAAUCAAUCUCACAUUUUAUACAUUAUACAUACCAUGUAUAAAGACAUAUAACAUAUAUAAAAUAUUCAAUCAUGACAUAACAUCAUCACCAUCACAGUAAACUGUCACUUGAGCGAAAUGCAACAAAAAUGCAACACCCUCUCAGGGCUAUUCUCGCUUGAGGGACCACCUCAUCGCUCAAGCAUUAGUCACACUUGAGUAACAUCCACUAUUAAGUUUUAGAGAAUCCUUCCACUGCUUUUGGUAGCUUGAGCACCCAAGAGCUUGAGUGCUCAAACUAGCAUUGGAGCACCCAACGAUCGUGCUAAGCACUAAUAUGUCCAUGACACGAAUGCACCACCUCAGCCAUGGUUAAGUAUCCACCACAAUCCUCAAGCCAAAAAAGCUUAAGUUCCUUCUCCAACACUUGAGUGACUGAUAGUUGUCAUUUUGUUGCCAAAUUAAAAUGGUUCCAGUGUAGACUUGUUUAACGCUAAAGAAAUGAAAUGAUAGUAUACAAGUGGUCAGAUGAUCUCAAAUAAUAAAAUCAGUAAAUAAAUGUUUAGAAUCUAUAUGUAAGUAAUAAAAUUUAGCACUAACAAUAUAAAGAUAAAAAAGGGGUCGAGAUAGUUGUGCAAAAAAUAUAAAAGAGAUUAAAAUAACAAUUAAAACGCGGUUGAUCCUCAAGUUCUUCCACCAUUGAAUUCUUCAUAGGUUCUCUAAAGAUUAAUCAUUUUUCAAUCCUCCAACAGAGCUAAACCAAAUUGAACAUGCGCCAGUCUAAUUCAACUGAAACUCACCAGUAAAACAUGCGUCUACUGAUUUAAUCAAUACUCACUUUGUUCCAUGCGUAUACUCUAUGAGAAUGUUUAUCUCAUCUUUCUUGAAUCAUGUGUCCAAGAAAUUAAUUAGAACAAUGUGAACUAACUAAGAAACUAAAAUUUAAGAUAAGGAAGACUCUCAAUAACGCGUUCAAGUACAACCUCUCAUAAAAAUCAGUUUUCCAAGAUAUUAGAAUAUUAAAACAAUUGCUAUAAAGAAUUAAAAAUCGAAACUUUUAUUGAAAAAAACCUCAAAACUCAAUGGGAAAUUAUAAAAGAAUCAACCAAAAAAGUUUAGCCUCCCAUGUGGAGGCAAAACAAAAUAAUUACAAGAAAAAAGAAACUAAGAAAAUGCUAUGAAACUCCCCCCUUUCUCCUUGAUGCUUGUCUCCUUUUAUAGGGCUUUAUGCUCCAAGGAUCUUGGAAAAAUAUUGUAGUUUAGAUUUUGUUAACAAUUUCAAAGUUUUUGACUUUCCAAAGUUCUUGUAUUUUUGCAGAAGAUUUGCUUCCAAUUCUGUUUAUGAGAUAUUGUAACUUUUAUUUUCUCUUUAUUCUUCUUAGAAUUUGUUUUCUGUUUUGAUUGAAAAAGUAACUUGAACUUUUGCAUAUUUGGUCCAUUCACUAAGGUAGACUCUUCCUUCAGACCAUUUACUCUAAAAACACAAAAUAAACAAAAAUAAUAGUUAAAGCCCAAAUAAACUUAAUUAUAUGAAUAUUAAUUAAAACAAUUGAUUUAUUUAUUAUUAUAGUCCAAUAAUCCAUGAUUAAAGUUAUUGAGUGUGAAUAAAUAUAUGUUCAUCAGUGAUAUACUUUUAGAGAAGAGAAUUGACUCAACAUCUAUGUCACUUGAACAACAAGCCACAACUUGAACUAUAUAAUAUGUCACUUGGAUAACCAACACAUUUCCUAAGUGAUAUAAGACAAUAAGUGUAAUGAUUACAUAACUUAGGUCUCUCUUGAGUGUCAAGUGAUCGUAAAGCAACCCCAAAGGGCUCAAACAAAGGAUUUCUCAAAGAUUUCCAAAUUGUAUGUGGAUUCUUACUUUCCCAUGUUCAUCAAAGAGUUAUUUUAAGACUUAUAUCCAACAAUGUAUCAUCACAACAACUCUUCUAACAUGCAUAUAUUUUACAUACUAUCAACCCCCAUAUAUUACAUACAACUAACAACUAUCAUAUUGUAAAAAAAUGACAUAGUAACUCCCCUUGUCUAGAUUGAAGUAUGCUCUCAUAAUAACCAAUACUUGAUAAAUUUUUCUAAGACUCUAAUGAAUCUAGAGAAGUUCUCAAAACAUCAUUUAUAUGAGCAAACAUUUCCUCUAAAUCAUUCAUACAAGUAAAGAAGAAGAGAAGACAAAAAGAUAAGAAAACUCAUAUAUGAUUGAGGUUACUUACCAAAACUAACUUCUCAUCAAUCCAAAACAAUUAAUACCUUACUAACUCCACAAACCUCAAUCUAGUAAAGAAUCUAUAAUUAAAAACUCAAUCUACUGGUUUAAUUAGUACCCACUUUGUUCCAUGCGUAUACUUCAUGGGAAUGCUUACCUCCCCUCUCUUGAAUCAUGUGCCCAAAAAAUUAAUUAGAACAAUGCAAACUAACUAAGAAAUCAAAGUUUAAGAUAAGGAAGAUUCUCAAUCAUGCGUUCAAGUACAACCUCUCAAAAAAUUAGUUUUCCAGGAGAUUAGACUAUUAAAACAACUGGUAUAGAGGAUUAAAAAUCGAAACUUUUAUUGAACAAAACCUCAUAACUCAAUGGGGAAUUCCAAAAGAAUCAACCAAAAAGGUUUAGCCUUCCAUGCGGAGGCAAAACAAAAGAAUUACAAAGAAGAAAAAGAAACUAAGAAAAUCCUAUGAAGCUCUCUCUUUUCUCCUUGUGUCCUUUUAUAGGCUUUUCUGUUCCAAGGAUCUUGGGAAAAUAUUAUAGUUUAUAUUUUGUUAACAAUUUCCAAGUUUCCAGAUUUCUUAUAUUUUGCAGAAAAUUUGCUUCCAAUUCUGUUUCUAAGAUAUUGUAGAUUUUAUUUUCUCUUUCUUCUCGGAAUUUGUUUCUUGUUUUGGUUCAAUAAAAAAUUUGGACUUUUAUAUAUUUGACCCAUUCACAAAGGUAGAUGCUUCUUCCGGAUAAUUUACUCUAAAAACACAAAAUUACCAAUAAUAAUAGUUAAGACCCAAAUAAACCCAAUUAUAAACUAUGAAUUUAUUUAUUAUUAUAGUCCAAUAAUCCAUAAUUAAAGUUAUUGAGUGUGAAUAAAUAUAUGCUCAUGAGUAAUACAUUUUUAUCUAUGUAUAUAAUUUGAUCAUCUAAAUAUAUGUAUCUUGGUUGGCUGGGUUUUAAUUGUACAAGUCAAUUUAGAUGGGAUUAUCAUUAAACAGAAUGAACUAAAAAAAAUUCUCAUUUAAAAUGGCGGCUUUUACCAUAACUGUAGUUUUAUAUCUUUCAAGAGGGUAUAAAAUGACGACUUUUUACCAUAAUUGCCGUUUUAUAUCUUUCAAAAAGAUCUAAAACGACGACUUUUACCAUAACCGCGGUUUUAGACUGAAUAUAACACAACGAUUAUAUAGCCGUUGUCUUUGCUUAAAGAUAAUAGACUACAUGUUGAAAGACAACGAUAGAAGAACCGUUAUUUUAAUACUAAAAUGACCGUCGUGAUUUAACUUUUUUGUAUCAGUAAUUAUAAAGUUUUUUUUAGAGUGGUGGUGAUAAACAUAUAUCGAUUUGAAAUUAAUAGAGUUAGAAAGCAAGAAAAAAAAAUACAUGAAAAAUGUUAAAUAAUGUCAUAGAAAUAGAAAUGGAAGAGAAGUGUAAAGAAAUUUAAAUAAAAAUUAGAUGUGAGAGUAAGUUAGUUUAUAUUUCCUAAGGUUUAAUGUAAUUACACCAAUGUUACCUUUUUUUUUCUAUGUUAUACUUUAACUUAUAAUAAUCCUUUCCAUUAUUAUAAACUUUUUAAAAAUUACAUAUUUUUCAAAUUAUGCACUAAUAAGACGCAUGGUGAAUAAUAAGCAGUGUAGAUUGUGUAAAUAUAUGAGCUUCCAUUUUAUUUAUUUUAGUUUGUGUGACAGAUGAACAUUAUUAGCAGGAAAAAGAAGAAUGAGACUGUCACAGUGAAGGUGGUUUUUGGAGUCUAGAGGAUCUUGUUGAGGACGAUGUUGGAACGUUCAGAUUUUUGGUCCUUAAGAUUGAUGAACUUGGAAGAAAAAGACCAAGAGAGGACGUCGUGCGUUUCAUAGCUCCAUUGAUAAGCCCCUGAGGUGGCAGAGAACCCAACGCUCACCCAGUCGUAAACUUCUUUCUCCAGCUCCACUGUGGUAGAGACGUUGUUGCUCUUUCCCGUAGAAGGGUUUGACAGAGAAACCGAGAAGACCUUCGUGGAGGAGUUAUAGGUGAUCCGAACCUCGGCGUUUUGUCCGUCGUAGUCGUGUACAUCCCAAGGCACGCUUUUGAUAUCGUUGUUGUUCACGUCGAUGCUAAUACGGCUGAGGAAGGUGUCGAACUCCACAGUCACAGUAUCGCCUUUGGAUUCGGGCUGGACGGGGACGAGAACAAAGUCAAGGCCAACGGCGGAAUUUGCUUGGCGGUGAGUGCGGAUAUUCAUUGUGAAGUUGGUGUCGAAGCUGGCGACGUUGCCGGUGGUGCUGUCCCUGAUUUGGAUGGGGGCGGAGUAGAAGGCUCUGCUCAUAGAGUCGUAUGAAUUAUAGGAUAGUUGUAAGUUGCCGUUGGAUGAGACGGUGGCAUCGCCUUGAAGGAUAAGGUUGGUUUUGUUGAACGCAUCGAUGAUGAAGGAGGUUUCGGUGGCUGAGUUUGCGUGGCUGAGAAGCGC